rnacentral:lncRNA from 1 species
UUAUUAAAAUGUAUACAAAAUUUGAUUAUAUAUUUUUGGGAAAACUUUAAAAAACCCCAUGUGGUUUCGCACUUUUUCAUUUUAAUAUCUUGUUAUUUAAAGUGUAUCAAGUUAGUACCCUGUGGUUUCUCACUUUAUCACUUUAGUACCCUGCGGUUUAAAGUGUAUCAAGUUAAUAUUCUAUAGUUUUAUUUUUGUAUUAAGUUAGUAUCCUGUAGUUUUAUUUUUAUAUCAAGUUAGUACCCUAUGAUUUUUAAACCACAUGGUACUAAAGUGAUAAAGUGUGAAACCACAGGGUACUAAAGUGAUAAAGUGUGAAACCACAGUGUACUAAAGUGAUAAAGUAUGAAACCACAGGGUACUAAAGUGAUAAACUGCGAAACCACAUGGUACUAACUUGAUACACUUUAAACCACAUGGUAUUAAAGUGAAAAAGUACAAAACCAUAGGAUACUAACUUGAUACACUUUAAACCACAAGGUACUAAAGUGAGAAAAAGUGAAACCACAAGGGUCUUAUUUGAAGUUUUCCCUAUAUUUUUUACAUAUGUAUUUUUACAGUAUAUAGAUUAUAUUUAUUAAAUUAUAUUUUAGUUUAAAUGGUGAAACCUUAUAGAACCUCGAAUGGCAAAUCUUAUAGAAGCUUUUUCUUUUCCUAUGUAUGAAGAGUUGAAGACUAAAGAGCUCCUCUUAACAACUUUUUUUUCUUAUGAAUUUUUUAAUAAUUUUUUGCUUAUAUAUUCUUUUAAAAAAUUAUUUAGUUACUUACAAGUUCUUACAAAAAAUUUUGUGACACAUAAACCAAAUAUUCAAAAGGCGUAUUUGACCAAAAGUCUUGACAUUGCAUUUCAGAAAAUAAAAAAAAAUAGAAAUUUGAAACUAAAUUCUCCGGAUCUAAGCAUAAAAAGAAAAAAUAUUUUAGUUAAAAAAAAUCACAAAUGUUUAAAUUUUAAUUUAAAUAUAUCCUCCUCAAAAGCCCUUCCGGCUUUUUUUAUAAAAUAACCUUUUUAAAUUUUAUUAUUUACGAAAUAAUCUUGUCUAAAUUAUAUUUAAAAAAUUAAUCUCUUAAAGACGGCGAAUGAUUUAUCGCUUUCAUAAUGAGUCUAAUUUCUUAGAAAAAUGGUAAAUCAUUCACUGUCUUUCGCUUGUUUAUUGUUUCUUUCUAUAAUCCUAACAACCAUAUAAAUAUUUCAACAAAUCACAUAUAAUCUUAACAAUCUGAAAAUUCUAAUAAUUUAUCCAUACAAUCCUAACAAGCAAAAAGAUCCUAAUAAUCUAUCCAUAUAUUCGUAAUAAUCAAACAUUACAUAAUCUUAACAAAUUGAAAAUUCUAAUAAUAUAUUCAUAUAAAUCUUAACAAAUUGAAAAUUCUAAUAAUAUAUCCAUAUAAUCCUAACAAUAAAAAAAAAUAAUAAUCUAUCCAUACAAUUCUAACAAUCAAAUAAAAAUUUUAAUAUUCUACACACAAUUCUAACAACCUCAUUUUUUUUAUUUCCCGUAUAAUCUACGUACAAUUUUAACAACCUCAUUUUUUUUCUCAAAAAAUUAUUAAAAAGACGGUGAAUAAUUCACCGCCUUUAAAAGGCCUUAGAAACUUUCAGAAUGCAGUGAAUGAUUCACCGCGUUUUGAGAGUUAAUUUGUUAAAUACAAAUUUGAUAAGAUUAUUUUGCAAAUUAUAAAAUUUUAGAUGGUUAUUUUGUAAAAUAGUCCCAUCCUCUCCUACUGUCAGACAAGCAACCAAAAAAAUAUGCAUACCUAUAAAAUCUGCAUCCCCCAAAACAGAGUAAGAAAAAUAAACAAAACCAAAUAGAACAAAAAUUUGUGAAAUGAGUAAUUUCAUCAGAAAUAGUAAGGCUGAGCUUGACCUUUCUGACAGUAAAUCAACAAAUAGAAGGAACGAAAAUGAGCAAAGGCAAUAUAUUUUGGAUUGGGGGAGGCAUUGAAAUUGAAUUGUAUAUGAAAUGAGGUGAGUGAAUCCAAAUUGCAUGGUAUGUGAUUAACAUAUGUAAAAGUCAAAUAAAUUUGUAAAACAUGUAAUUACACUAUCUUUCAUUUACAUGGAAUUCACACUCUCGGUAGAAUCAAAAUACCUUCUCUGUCAAACAGACAACUCACAAUCCUAGGGGAUUAAACUCGAGACGAGCUUUUUUGAUCUAACAUUAAAUAAAAACACCCGUGUGCGACAAUCCUUAAAUUGCAUUGAAGUAUUGAAGAUAGCAAGCUAGGUCUAUUCUAGUACUUCAACAGCCCUAAAGUGAAAGAAAAUAAAAAAUAGUCACGAAAAGAAUUCUGAAAAAAAAGUGUUACGAUAAACGCACAAACGAAAACGAAAAUAACGAACACAAAAUAGUCAAACCACAAGCAAAAAUAAAAAAGAACACACAGAUUUACAUGAAAAAUCCUUUAUAGAAAAAAACCACGGAUGAGUGAGGAGAGAACUUCACUAUCGAACAAAAAAGGGGAAUACAAUGUUCGGAGAGUACAACCAACUUCAAUCGGUCGCCUCUAGGGCAAAAACGAAAAGAAAACUCUUAACGGGGCAUGUUGGCCCGAGCCCUCUGCUAUCCACCACAAACAUUUAUUUUUUCCUUCACAAUUUUACUUUCCAAUUUGGUCACACCGCGAAACUGUCGACGAGUCAAAAUUUGAACCGAAGUCGAUUAUCAAUUUCGAAUAACAUCUAACAGAAAGAGAGAUUAAGAUCUGCAAAAAGCAUCAGCUCUUCUUCUGUCUUUUUGCUGCUUUGUUAUUGCAAACUUACUAGACAAAAUGAUGCUGGAUUUCCCGUCAAGUUCAGCAUAGUCAUGCAUAUUGUUCACAAACUCAGAAAUGAAAUUGCCGACAAACUGGAUUUCCUCGUCGUCAUUGUUUUUUGAAAGGAAUGUAUAGGGUAUUUCCUAUACAUUUCAUUGAAUGUAAUAAGAAUUACAUGUAAAACAAGUAUAAAUUAUAAUUGUUGGGGCUGAGUAGGCCCGCAGCAAUAAUUGAUCCCCCAAAUUGAACCCCCAGUUACAAAAAUUUGAACCACAUUAGUGCAUCAUUGUGAGAUACUCGAGCUAGCUCUUCAGAUGAUCUAUACAACCCGUUGAAGACGUGAAGCUGACAUUCUAAGUGAUAUUCCAGGAUUAGAUCUGAGAUGCUCGAUAAGCACCUGAGGUAGAGAUGAUUUGGAGAGACUAGUGCAGUUUCCUAUAUCUAGACCAUCAAGGUUCGGAAAUGCUCCGCUCUCGAAGGCAGAAAGAAGCAGCUGGUCAUCGCAACACAUUGAAAGCUCUUUAACUGAUGGGAAAUCUGACGGCAAUGCUCUCAGUUUUGGGCAUGAUUCUAUCCUCAGGUCCGAGAGAAGAGGAAAGAAUUCUUGCCCCGCAAAUCCAAACCACUCCUCCAGCUUAGACAUGCAUGAUAGUGUCAAUUUCUCCAAAGCCAAGAACGCACCUUUCCCGCCAUAAAACUCUGAGCCCAAGCACUCAACCUCAGGAAGACAAGAUAGACUCAGGACCUUAAGAGAAGGACACUGCCCAAGGGGCGGAAGACGCUUGAUAGCAAGAAGAUUGUCUAAAUCAAGGAUCUUAAGGUGAUGCAGCUGGAUGAGUUCAGGAAGAGUCUCAGAUCUAACAAAGGUUCCCAAUUUAAGCUCUACAAGAUUAGGAAGUGUCGACUCCAACAGCCAUCUUGGAAACGUAUUUCCCAAGAAGCCUUCAAUCUCCAAUACGGUCAAAUUUUGGUGUGGUUGGAGGCCCUCAAGAAUUUUCUCGGCCAACUCACUGUCGGUAUCCCACUCUUGUGCCAGAAAUGCUUCCAUGAUUUUGUGCAUGCUUUCUUCAUCAUUGUUGUUACUUGCACAUUCAUCUAUUAUCUUUUUGUAAGCAUUCAGAUCCCAUGACAAAUGCAGUGAUUGAAGAUUCUGCUUUCCGAUCAAGUUAGCCUCCUUCGCCUCUUCUGCAUUUUUCACAUUUUCCAGCUUUCUUAUAUCUAAUCGGCCUUUAAGAUUGAGUCGGUUGAGCUCUCCAAGGCUGCACUUGUUCCUUCCACCAGCCACAAAGAUCGGUAGUGUUCGAAGGCAACUCAAUUGUCCUAUCCCUGAAGGCAUACAUGUCAGUUCAUAGCAAGCAUAUAUGUCUAGAUGUACAAGGCUUGCCAUGUUUUUCAUGUUUUCCGGAAGUUUGCGUACAAAGCAACAGUGUCUAAGUCCCAAUGAUCGAAGAUCUGAGAGGCAGCUAACGGAUUCGGGCAACUUUUGGAUGCCAGAAAUGGAGAGGUCUAAGUUUUGCAAACUUCUAAGACGGCCGAUUGAGGAUGGUAAAGAAAGAAGGCGCGAACAGCCACUAAGGUCCAAUUUAUAGAGAUUGAAGAGGUCACCAACGGUUUCUGGCAAUGCUUGUAGACUUCGACAACUUGCUAGGUUCAAGAUCUGCAGAUUCUGAAGGAGGCCAAUUGAUGGUGGAAGGUUUUUAAGGCUUGUCAAUGACAGAUUAAGGUACCUUAGAUGCCGAAGAUUUUUAACCGAAACUGGAAGUUUUUUCAUGGGGUAGUGGGCAAGAUGAAGUGAUCUUAGAAGCUUCAUGUUAGAGAAUAUAAUUUGAAGAACCUCGAGAAUCUUAUUGUAGUCGUCCUCAUUUUUGUUUAGGCGCAUUAACCUGCUAUGUGGUGCAACUAAAUAUAAGGUUCGCAACUUGUUUGCCUUAUUCAAAACUUCUAGAAUCGACGAUAUUGGCUCGUUUUUGCAGAGAAAUGAUGAAUAACGUGUGGUUGAAGCAAUGUCUCUUUUGGUACCACUAGGGUCAACAAUCGAGCACUCUUCCCCGGCAACGGACUGUGCAAGAUCGUGAACUAGGUCAUGCAUUUUGAUACUUAAUACUUCACCAUCUGAGCCUCUCCUAUAACUCUCAAAGAGAGAUCUUGAUAAUAACUCAUCCACAUAGCGCAAACCAAUAUCAGUCAAUUCUGCUCGCCUAUCUAAUGACUGAACGAAGCCUUCUGCAAUCCAAAGUUGGAUUAAUUUGUCGAUAUCUAUAGAAUUAUCCUUUGCAAAUAUGGAGCAAUAUGCAAAACAUUGUUUCAAACGUGGCGGCAAAUGAUUAUAACUCAACCUUAGGGCCGGCAAAAUUUCAUUCUCUUCAUCAGGUAAGUUCCAGAUAUCAUUGUCCCUAAUUGCCAACCACUCACUUUCCCUCCUCUUGAAUCGCAUCAAACUACCCAAAGCCUUUGCUGCCAAGGGAACACCGCCGGCUUUCUUCACAAUCCAUUUUCCGAUGGUUACCAAGUUUCCUGUCUUCGCACCGGCACCCAACCCGAAUGCUCUCCGCUCAAACAACAACCAGCAAUCAUCCUCUGAUAGACCGCGCAAAAUGUGAGGCUCAACCGUGCCCAUCAAAGAGGCAACUCUUACGUUCUGAGUGGUCACUACGACCUUACUUCCCCUGCCACCGGCGGUCAGCAAAGUCCUCAAUCUAUCCCACUUCUCGGAAUUCUCAUUCCAAACAUCAUCGAGCACGAGCAAGAAUCUCCUUCCCUCCAGCCUUUCCAUAAGCGAACGUUGCAUCGGCUCCAUGCUCGUGAGAUCAAACUUCGCUCCGGUCACAGAUUCCACGAUCGAUCUAAUAAGCCGUCUAGAGUCAAAAUCAUCAGAGACACAAACCCAUAUCAUCUCCUCGAAAUGGCCGUGCACCCUUCGAUCAUUAUACACUAACUGCGCGAGGGUCGUCUUACCGAGCCCUCCCAACCCGACAAUCCCAAUAACCCCAGGAUCAACCUCACUAGACAUGUCCAGCAGAAACUCAACUAUCAUUUCUUUAUCCUCCUCUCUACCGUAAACCUCCGAUUCGACUACGAAAGACCCGGUUUCCGCUCUCGCCGAAUUCUCUAUCUUACAAUCAUGUACCAGUCCCUCGCGCAAAUGAAACUUCGAUCUCUCGUCCGCGAUCUCGUCUAACCUCUCCCCAAUUUUUUUAACCUUCCUGGCUAUUCUAGACUGAAACAUGAUAGAGCUGGGGAGGGAAGACAGCUUACCGAGCACUGCCUUCGUGCCGCGGGAUGUCCUUCUGAGAGCUUCGGCGGCGACCUCGUCGAGCACGUCGUCGGCGUCGAAUGCGGCGUCCUUGAGCCUCCUCAGCGACCCGGCGAGCGCUCGCUCCUGCGACUGCCAAGCCUCCGCGUCCGCGAGCACGUGGCGGAUCGCGGCGAGGGUUGUCUCCAGCUUGGUCAGCUCUUUCUCGACGCCCAUCACUAGCCCGAACUCCUUUGUGAUCUGCGCUCCCAGCUUGUUAAACACCAGCCUCAGGAGGCUGGAGCUCACUAUGUCCGCCAUUGCUGCUAGCAAUUUCUCUUCUCUGAGUGCUUCCUCUGAUGCUUUGCUGCAAUGGAAUCUAAUUAAAUGCUAGUCACCAAGAGAGAGAGAGAGAGAGAGAGAGAGAGAGAGAAAAGUUUCUGGGAAGCGAGUGCUUUUGAAAAAGAGAGUAAAGCAGAAGAGAACAAAUGUAGUUAAGUUUCCCAGUAGAGAUUCUUUGAGUAGGGAUGAUGGGAUGUGGAAGUGACCUUGUGGGGACGAUGUCGGUUGCGAGGGAAAAAUUAUAAAAUACAAUGAUAUAUUGAUGACGUGACGUAACAAAUUAAUCAAAAAAAUUUUAAAAAAAAUUAUGUCCCAUCAUAAUUAUAAAAAAAUAUUUUUAUUAUACUUUUAUUUGAAAAAAAAAAAUAUGAUUGACUUGUUAUUGAUGACAUGGUACAAGUGUGAUACUAUAGAAUUUCUCGUUGCGAGGAGGGCUCACCUCUCAUUGCGCGUGUAGAGGCAAAAGGCAAAGAGGAUAACUAAUAAUAAAGAAUAGUAGAAAAUGAAGAAGGAAAAGAGAAAAAGGCGAAACAAGGAGCGGGACUGCCUUCGGCCAAAUCCCGCGCGGGCCUGCCGAUCCCCCGCCGUCCUCCCCAUUCGUUCAGAUUUCACGCAACUUCCGCCUGUAUAUAACUGACUCCUUUAAUUUGCAACUUUCAGCUCAUUUCUUGCAGGAGAAGAGGCGAAAGCUCUCCCGUGCGUCCUGCAACUUCUGUUAAUCACCUGCCACAAUGCAGGUCGGAAUUUGUUGCGGUUACAACAUUUUUAGACAAUUUCAUAUCUAAACCAAGCCAACCCCAGCUAUUUGGUACUUACUUAGGGGUGUAAUGUGGCACGGCCCACAUUUUUUUGUGUCGAUUCGGGCUAGGGGCCGGCCCAGCCUGGCCCGGUUACAAAUCUGGGCCGGACCGUGCCGGGCUGGAACUACCAACUCUUUGGCCCAGCACGACCCUUCGGUCUAGAAGGCCUAGGCCGUGCCCGGCCGGGCUGGGCCGUGCUACGGGCAGGCCUCUAAAAUUUUUUUAUUUUUUUUAAAAAUAUAUUAAAUUUAAAAUAUAAAUAAAUAAUUUUUUUAUUUAAAAGUUUAAAAUUUAUAAAAGUAAUUAUAAUAUAAUAAAUAUUUGUAAUUUUUUAAAAAAUAUAUAUAAUUUUUUAUGUUUUUGAAAAAAAAAUAAAUUGAGAGAGUUUUUGUUUGGUCCAUUGGACCAAAAACCUCCUUCCAAGGUUUGCCAGAGGAGAUCUCCUGGAGAGAUGGGCCCAGAAAAUCAUUGGGGUUCAAGUCGUGCGGGCCCGGCCUAAGCAGGUCUUGCCGUGUCGAGCCACGGGCCUCUCCUUGGUCCGGUAUGGCCCAGGCCCGUUUCGGACCGUACUGGGCCAGAUUGUUGGGUCCAAGAGGAGAGGCCCAACACGGCCCUCAAGCUCCAUUCGGGCCGGGCCGGCACGGAUGCUACAGCAACCGUUACAAGCUCUAGCCCGGCCCGAGGCCUUGCCAGGCCAGGGCCUAUAGGCCGCCGAGCCCGUUUUACACCCUCUAUUCUUACUAUGUGGAUAUUGGGACAACUCGAAUAUAAAGAAGAGUAUAUUUUAUAUAUUUUAAUUUUUUACAUUAAAAUUUUUAGCUUUUUAAAUUUUCUUUCAACCUUUCUGCUAAUAGUAGGACUGAUAAUUUAACUUAUUAUUCGAAAGCUGUCUCGUAUUCGGUCGCUAAUAAACAAGCCGAGCACGAACUAAUUUUUUUAGCUUGAUAUUUUAACGAGACAAUUCGUAUUCGGCUUAUUUAAUAAAUGUACAAAUACGAGCCGGCGCAAUUCGCUCGUGUUCAGCUCAUUAACAGCCCUACUGCUUAGAUAGAAGAGAUCUGUUAAUUUGAGACUUAAAAAAGUAGAUAAAUAAUUUAAAUAAAAAAGAUCCUCUGUAUUUUUAAUACUAUGUCUAUCAAUUUUAUUUUUUUUUUCAAUUCAUAUACUUUGUUGCAUAACUUAUAACUAACUUAAUCUGCAAAUUUAUUUUUGUAAAGCUUAAUUUACUAUUGAAUUCAACAGUAAUUCUAAAUAGUUGAAUCCGCUCAAGACAAUUAUGGCAAAGUGUAGGACUAAUUAAUUAAUUUCUUAUGUAGAGGGUUCGCGAGAUAUGAGAUCAAAUUCAAGGGGGUUUUUGUUAAAAGAAGUCUUUAUUUUACUGCAAUGUCCUGUUUGGGUACAUAAUAAAACAAUUUUAUGAAGUUUAUAUUCUGUAAUUUUGGUUUGAACAAAACAAAAAAAUUCUGUAAUUAUAAAAGUUUCCACAGCUACAGUUUUAAAUUAUUUGGAUUCACAUCAUAUAAUUUGGUAGCAACUCCAAAAAUUAAGAUUUUAUUUAAAAUUUAAAAUUUAACUAUAUUUGAUGGCUCGAGUUUUGACACUUUCUUUGUAUAGUGAAUUCGAUGGCUUUAUUUGCACAAUAAGAAAAUUGAAUUUGAACUGAAUUUAGAAUUUACUGUUUUGGUAUCAAGUUAACAUAAAAUAAUUAAUGGUUUUUAUUCAAAAACUUAAACUACCAUGUAACAGUACUUUUAAUAUUAAUAUUAUUCAACAAUAUCAAUUAUCUAUUUGCAUAAAAAAACUCAUAUAUCUCAAAAAGGCCAAAAUUAUUGGAAUGCUUAUUAUAUUUAAAUUUCAAUUGGAUAAAGAAAGUAAUAGAAUACAUAAGUGAAUUUGAUAGUUUUAUUUGUGGGAGAAAAAAAAAAUACAAUGCAGGCGAAACUGCAAGAGUUUUUUUUUUUUUUUUUUUUUUUUCCAAGUUGGCCCCACAAUCCAUAUAAUUGUAGAACACAAACAAAUUUACUAAAUUCAAAGUCAUAAAAUACAAGCAGAGUUCAUUUGCCUCAACAUUGGUAGCAGAAUUUACUUUUUGAAUAAAUAAAGAGAAUAGUAUGCUAUUUUGAUCUCAGAAAAAAAAAAAAAAACAAACUUGCAAAGAAUAUAUAUAUAAUGGGCAUUGUACUGAUUGCCAUACCUUUUUUAUCUUUUUUUUUUUUUGAGAAAAAGAUAGCGAGCUAUCUGCUUCAUUCAUUAGGGGAAAUGAACUAGGCUUACAUGGUGGAAGCCAGAAAGCUCGUUCCACGCAGUGAUCAGACGAUUGACCCGUUCCAGUGAGCGGGAAGGGUCGGGUGAUAUGUCGUUGAAUAUAAGAUUAUUCUGGUCGGUCCAGGCCACCCACCACGUAGCAGCCAAAAGGGUUGUGCGUUUAGUGCUCUUCCCAUCCUCACCAAGAUUGUUUGCCCACUUCCAAAGACCGGUGACAUUCUCCGUGGGCUCUGCGAAGCUCGCUCCUUCCGCACUGAGGAGAAGGUAUUUUACGAAAACGCAGUGACUGAAAAGGUGUUCACAGGUUUCCGUGUUUAGGGCGCAGAAAACGCACUGUUGGUCUACCGUCAAGCCACGUUUAUAUAGGCGAUCAGCGGUUAGAAGUCUCUUACGCAGUAGAAGCCAUGUGAACACUUUGAUUUUAACAGGGGUGCGCAUUCUCCAGAUUAGGUGGCUCGUUGGGUCUCUCACACUUGUGUUUGAUAGAAAUCGGUAGAGGGAUUUGACGGAAAAAAGUUGGUUGGGAGUCCAUCGCGCAAUAUUCCAAAACAAAAGGCUAUAGGAGUUCCGCAAUGCAUCUGAUGAAGUCUAGAUCAUCAUCAUGCAUAGGAUUCCACCAAUAGAAGUCUCGACAUUUUACGGAUGUUAAGUGCUUCGCGAGAAUUCGUGGAACAAAUGGUCGAGCAAGAUCAUAGGAAUUUGCCAAGUGCACAAUCUUGAGAUUUGGAAAUGCGCCAUGAGGGAGAGAAGAUAGCAGCAGCUUACUAUUAGCACACAAAUACAGUCGCUCUACGGAUGGAAAAGACGAGGGUAGUUCUUUCAAUUUUCGACAAUCUAGUAGCCUCAACUCCGACAGACGAGGGAAAGAUCGCCGCCCAGCUGAUGCUUCACACCACUCCUCCAACUCAGGCAUGUGUUCUAGACUCAAGUUCUCCAAUACUGGGAAAGCACCAUCGCCUGCACCGUAGAACUCUGAGCCCAGGCUCUUGACUGCUAGGAGAGCAACGAGAUGUAAGACUUUAAGAGCAGGCAACUGCCCCAGCGAUGGAAGAGACUUGAUGGCGGGAAGCUUCUCGAGAGAAAGGAUCUCAAGGUUAUGCAACUGACUUAUUUUUGGGAGGGUCUCACAUCUGAAACAAAAAGAUAAGUAAAGCUCAAGAAGAUUUGGAAGACUUGACUCCAACCAUUUCGGAAAAGUUUUGCCCGGGUAGCGAUAUAUCGCCAAUAGGGUCAAAUUUUCAUGCGGUUGGAGGCCAUCGAGGACUUCUUCGGCUACCGCAAGUGCACUGAUCAGACCUUGCCUGCUUCUUCCUUCUACGUCAGUGCGCACAUAGGCUUCCAUCUGUUUCUUAUAAGUAUCCAGGUCCCAUGCCAACCCUAGUGAGUGAAGACCAUCCAUUUCAAUUAAGUUAGCCUCUCUAGCCUGCUGGACAUUCUUCACAUUUUCUAGGCUAGUAAUCAAUAGGAUGCCUUCAAGAUUAAGUCUGUUGAGCUCCUUGAGGCCGCACUCGCUCUUCUCGCAAAGAUCAAAGAGCAGUAGUUCUCGAAAGUAGCUUGGCUGUGUAAGUCCAGCGGGCAUGCGCGUUAAUUUAUGGCAAUGACCUGGGUGAAGACAUGUAAGGCUUUUUGUAUUCUUUUUGUUCUCCGGGAGCUCGUGUAGAAAGAAACAGUGUCUUAUAUUAAUUGAUCGAAGAUUUGAGAGGCAACAUAAGCUUUCGGGCAACUUUUUUAUUCUCGUAUGUGCCAAGUUUAAGGUUUGCAAACUCUUUAAAUGGCCAAUGGAAUUUGGUAGGGAGACAAAGCUUGUACAACAUUCAAGAUUCAGUGUUAGUAUGUUGGAGAGAUUACCAAUGGAGUCUGGUAAUUCUUUUAAAAAUCGACAUCCUUGCAUGUCCAAAACAUGCAGAUUUUGCAGAAAACCAAUUGAUUGUGGCAGUGCUUCAAGGUUUGUGUAUGACAAAUUGAGAUACCUUAGGUGUCUGAGAUUACCAAUUGAAUUUGGCAAUUCUUUGAUUGGGUAGUAUUUAAGAUAAAGUGCUCUUAGAAGCUUCAUACUAGAGAAAACAGUUUGAAGAAUCUUCAGCAUCAUAUCUUCCUUUCCUAUCUGCACAAAAGGAUGUGAUUUGAGGAAGUAAAAGGUUCUCAACUUUUUGACUUCAUUGAGGAUCUCUAGAACCGAUGGUAUUAUCUCUAUUGUGUAGAUAAAAGACGAAUAACGUGUCGAAGGAUAUAUGUCUCUUCUAUUGACAGCUUUGGCAAUGCUUGAACAUUCUUCACCUGAAACAAAUUGAGCGAGAUCAUGAACAAGAUCAUGAAUCACGACAGCACCUAUCACAUGCCUAGGUUCCUCGAAAAGUGAUCUCGAUAAUAGCUCUUGGAUAUAUUGGUAACCCACGUCUUCCAAUUCCACACUCUCGGUGAGUGACCGAACAAAUCCUUCAGCAAUCCAAAGUUGGAUCAGGUCCUUAAUUAUUAUAAUAGUAUCCUUUGGAAAUAUGGAGCAAUAUGCAAAGCAUUGCUUCAAGUGCGAUGGCAAAUGAUUAUAACUCAACCUUAGAGCUGGUAAAAUCCCAUUCUCUUCUAACUUCCAACUAUCAUUAUCCCGAACAGCCAGCCACUCUUUUUCCCUUCUCUUAGAGCGCAUCAAGCUACCUAAAACCUUCGCUGCCAACGGGACACCGCCACAUUUUUUCACAAUCUCCUUUCCAAUGGUAACCAAGUUUGCGGUCUUCUCACAAGCACCUAUCCCAAAUGCUCUUCUCUCAAACAACAACCAACAAUCAUCCUCAGAUAAAGUCUUCAAAAAGUGUGGCUCCACCGUGGCCAUUACUGAGGCUACUCUACUACUACGGGUGGUCACUAUUAUUUUACUUUCGGUCGCACCAAUAGUUAGCAAAGUCCUAAAUUUGUCCCACUUCUCAUAAUUUUCAUUCCAUACAUCAUCCAGCACGAGCAAAAAUCUCUUUUUCUCAAGCUCCUGUUUUAGUUUAGACUGCAUCGACGCCAUGCUUGUGAGAUCGCAAGCAUUUUCUGUUGUAUGCUCGAUUAUUGAUCUGACAAGCCUUUUAUGGUCAAAAUCAUCAGAAACACACACCCAUAUUCUUUUCUCAAAGUGAUCGCUUAUUUGUCGAUCAUUAUAGACUAAUUGCGCGAGUGUCGUCUUACCGAGCCCUCCCAUCCCAACAAUUGCUAUAAUCCCGAGAUCACCUCCAGACCUGUCCAGGAGAAAUUCGAUGAUCUUUUUCUUAUCUUCUUCCCGACCAUAAACUUCCGAUUCGAUUACGAAGGAACUAGUUUCUUCUCUUGCAAUAUUCUCUUGCCUACAGCAUGUUACUACAGAUCUCUCUUGCAAAUGAAACUUAGAUCUCUCCUCUGCGAGCUCAUCUAGUCUCUCCCUAAUCUCUCUAAUCUCCCUACCAAUCUUAAACUGAGAAAUAAAUGAGUCAGGCAAAGAUAACAGGUUACUCACCGUUCCCAUCAUCCAGCUAGCAGUACUGCUUUCCGGAUCAGCUAAACUCCUCUUCCGGUUCUUGGCCAAGCCCUCGUCUAGCAGAUCGUCGAUAUCAUAGGCCACGUCUUUGAGGCGUCGCAGCCACCCUUUGAGAGCUUUCUCCUGCACUUGCCGCGCCUCCGCAUCCUCGAGCACGUCGCGGAUGGCGGAGAGGGUGCCCGCCAGCUUCUUCAGCUCGGUGCCGACGUCCAUCAGCUGACCAAACUCGCUUGUGAUUCGGUCCCUCAGUCUGUCCAGCAAUGAGUUCAGGACGCCGGAAGCCACUACGUCUGCCAUUUUCUUUUUGAUGUAAUCAAUCGAUCGAUCGAUCAAGAAUUGAAUGAAAUUAAGAUGAAUAAGGCUAAACGAAAGGAGAGGAGACCAGUUUUACGCUGUGCAAAAGACUUGACUUGAGGAUCCUUCCAUGUCGGCGGGUGAUUGGCCUGAGAGUAGAAAAAAAAGUCAUACAAGAAGAAAAAUGGAGGGCGAAACAUCAGCAUUCUCGCAAGAAAAAUAAAAGGGAGGCCAAAUUAAGGUCAUUCUCAGGUUGACCAAAUCAACCUGCCUACUCUUUCUGCAAUAUUUUGAUUAGGACUUUCUCUAAGACCGUCAUAUUUUUUUAUGAGUACGAGGGCCAUCGUACUCAUAAUAGUAUAGUAGCCGGACCCUAUAUAUAUAUAUAUAUAUAUAUAUAUAUAUAGGUAUAUAGAGUCCGGCUACUAUACUAUUAUGAGUAUGAUCGCCCUUGUAUUUGUAAGUUAUUUUCGAUGAUAAAGCUUCCGAAUCGACGAUCCACACCGUUAAACAUUAUUUACAGUAUUUAAAACUUCUAAAAAUCAAAUUUUAUAAUUUUUCGACAUCAUUUACCUUACGAUCAAGAGGUCACAAAUUUGACAAUUUUAAUUAACGGCCGGUAUCAGAUACUUGCUAGUUUAACGGUGUAAAAAAAUUAGAAUUUGUUGAAUUUUUGAUAGAAAAUUUUAUUCACUACAUAGAUAAAGAUCAAUAACUCUGAUCUUUAAUUGAAGGAUCCGAUCAUCCUUUUUUAGGACGUCAUUCGAUUUUGAUCAUUCAUUUUAUGCCCACUUGAUGGACUUUAUUAUGAUUUCGAAAAUUUACGAAAUUUAUUUUUUAGAAGUUUCAAAUACUCUAGAUCAUAUUUAAUGAAGUGGAUCGUCGAUUCGGAAGCUCUAUCAUUGAAAACAACUUAUGAGUAUGAGGGCUCCAAUACUCAUAAUAGUAUAGUAGCCACGGCCUAUAUAUAUAUAUAUAUAUAGAGAGAGAGAGAGAGAGAGAGAGAGAGAGAGAGAGAGAGAGAGAGAGAGAGCAGGACUGCUGUGCUCUUAGGAGCACGGAGGCCUCCGUGCUCCUGAGCCGUUUUCGAUGAUGAAAUUUUCGAAUUGACGAUCGGUUCCGAAAGACUUGAUCUAGCGCAUUUGAAGUUUCUCGAAAAUAAUUUUUGCGAUUUUUUGAUUUCAUUUAUCUAGUGAUCAAAAGGAUUCAAAAUUCAUAAUUUUUAAUGGUUGAUAUCUGUCAUUUUCAAAUUUAACGGUGUAGAAGUAUUCAAAUCAGAUGAAAUUUUGAUACAAAAUUUUUUAUACUAUUUACAACAAGAUCAAUAUUUCUGAUCCAAAAUUUUGGUGCUAUAUCACCACUUUUUAUAGGAUUUUUAUUUUCAGCCGUUAAAAAUUAUUGAUUUUGAAUCAUUUCGAUUGCUAGGUAAAUGAUAUUGAAAAAUCGCAAAAAUUAUUUUCUAGAAACUUCAAAUAUGCUAGAUCAAGUUUAACGGAGCCGAUCGUCGAUUCGCAGACUCCAUCAUCGAAAACGGCUCAGGAGCACGGAGGCCUCCGUGCUCCUGAGAGCACAGCAGCCUAGCACUCUCUCUCUCUCUCUCUCUCUCUCUCUCUCUCUCUAUAUAUAUAUAUAUAUAUAUAUGAUAUGAACUAAGUUAUUUGAAUUAGCACAAAUUUCUGUGCUUUGACAUCUAGAAUCUUAAUUUUCACUUUAUUUCAAAAGAAAAAAUUGCAUAAGUUUUAAUUUCAUACAACAAAAGAAGUUCCACUUAUUGCUCUAGGUUUUCUAUCUUAAUUUUUUAUAUAAAUAGGCUAUUAAAUUAAAUAGCAAAAUAUAUGUUCUACAAAUUACAAUAAACUAUCUUAUUUUACAAACCACAUAGUAAUAAAAUAAUAUAUUUUACUAUGUAUUUUAAUAUUUUAAAAUAAAUGUUAUCAUUCUAAAAUACUUUUUUAAAGAAUUUUGAAGUUAAGGGCAAAAUGGGCAACCACAUUCAUGACAAUUUAAACACUGUAGCAUUCUGAAAGAGACGGAAAUCAGUAGUAAGGAUAUAUUUGAAAGAUAAUAAGUAUUUGUAGGCGUAUUUGUGAUAUAAUUAAAUUUAUAGGGACAUCUAUGAUAUUUUUGAAGUUUAGAAGGGCGUGAAUAAAAUUGACUCAAAAUAAUAUGUGUUAUUUGGAGAACAAGAGACAUUGUGAUAUAAGUUAGAAUAAUAGUAAAUUUAUAUUUGAAUGUAUUUAGAGAGUAAAACUAUACGUAGACCGCUCACUUUGAAGAGAUCUAUUAAUUUGAGACUUAAAAAAAUAAUAAUAAUUUAAAUAAAAAAUCUUUUAUAUUUUUAAUACUCUCAAAAUUGAUAGUUCACGAAUUUUUUUUUUCAACUUAUAUACUUUGUUGUACAACUUAUAACUAACUUAAUCUGCAAACUUAUUUUUACAAAGCUUUACAAUUGAAUUCAACAGUAAUUCUAAAUAGUUGGAUCCCUUCGAGACAAUUAUGGCAAAGUACAGUACUAAUUAAUUAAUUUUUUACGUAGAGUGUUCACGAUAUAUGAGAUAAAAAACAAAGGGUCUUUUUGUUAAAAGAAGUCUUUAUUUUUACUGUAAUGCCCUAUUUGGAUACAUAAUAAAAAAGUUUCAUGGAGUUUAGCUAUAUUCUGUAAUUUUGGCUUGAAAGAAAUAGAAAAUUUGGUAACUAUAAAAAAUUUCACAGAUUUAAUUUUAAACUGUUUGGACAUAUAUCAUAUCAUUCCACAAAAACUCCAACAAUUAAAACUUUAUGUAAAUUUAAAAUUUAACUAUUUAUGAUGGCUCGCUUCUAGUUUGGCACUUUUUUGUGUAGUGAAUUUGAUGGCUUUAUUUGCACAAUAAGAAAAUUGAAUUUGAUUUGAAUUUAGAAUAUACUGUUUUGAUUUGAAGUUAAAUAAUAUAAAAUAAUUGUUUUUCUUCAAAAACUUCAACUACCAUAUAUUAGUAUUUUUAAUAGAGAAAUGAUUCGGUACCUUUUAAAAAAAAAAAAAAAAGAUCUUAACCGUUGAUUAAUAGAGGGUAAAAAUGUAAUUUUAAUACUUAGCAUGUAAAAGGAUUAUUAUAUUCAAGGUUAGUUUGGUAAUUAAACAAUAUAACAUUUAAAGAAACUUUUAAUUGAGUUCCUAAAUUUACGCAUUAAUUUGCACUAAUUUAAGAAAUUAAUUGAUUAGCCAAAGUUAUGCAUUAAUUAGGCAAUUUAGGCAUCUACUUUAAAUGUUUUAGUGUUUCUAAAAUUAUGCAUUAAUUUAUAUUAUAGGAAUUUUAGAAAUAGUUUUAUUUCUAAAUACAAUGAAUUUAAAUUUUAAAUAUUAAAUAUUUAAAAUUUAAAAGUGUAAUUAAAAUUAGAGGAAUUUUAUAUUACUAUUUAAAAAAAAUUUAAUGUUGGUAAAUAUUUUAAUUCAACAUAUUUAAUAUGUUUAAGAAACUUUUAAACUCCUAUAAUUUAGACAUUAAUUUUGUAUCAUUUAUUUAAAAAAUUUUGAAUGUAGGUUAAAAUAUUUAUAAUUUAAAUGUAUUUAAUAAGUUAAAAAAAAUUUAGAAUUGUUCUACUUUAGAUAUUAAUUUUGUAUGACUAUUUAAAAACAUUUGUAAUGUUGGUAAAUAUUUAAAUUUAACAUAUUUAAUACGUUUAACAAAAUUAGGAAUUCAUCUUAAUCAUUAAUUUUGUUUACUAAUUUAAAAAAUUAAAUGUGGGCAAAUAUUUAAAUUCAACAUAUUUAAUAUAUUUAAAAAAAUUUAAGAAUUUUUCUAAUUUAGAUAGUAUUAUCACUAUUUAAAAAAUUUAAUGUAGAUAAUUGAUUAGAAAUAUAGGGUAAGGAUAUAAUUCAAAUUUAUUUGUAGUAUACUAGUAUCCCUACACUUAGUAUAUAUAUAUAAGUGUGUGUGUGAGGGUACGUGUGUGUGUGUGUGUGAGUGCACAUGUGUGAGUUUGUGUAAUGCCAUGUGGCAUCACCUCCCCCCCCCUCUUUUAUGCAUGCAGGGAAGAGAGAGAGAGGAGUUUAUCUCCUCUCUUCUCUCCUUUUCUCUUUCGUUCGGCCGUACCAAGGAAGCACGCGAGGGACGCCGCCGCGGAGCCGAUUUCGCCGUCGACGUCGCACCGCAGAGCCGUUCGAACCUACGGUUGCUGCCGUUGCAUCGUGAGGAGGCCGGGCGAGCGUGGAUCUUCGCCGUUCUUGACGUCGCGCCAGUGCUAGUCGCCGUCGAGGUGGGUGUUCCAUAGAAUUGCUUCCUAAUUUCCAAGCUUUUUCAAUUUCGAGCUAGUUGCUGUCCCUGCAGAUUUCCAGCGUCGACCGUUGGCGUUUCGGCUCGUACUCGACGUAGGAGCGUCGGAUUUCGACGAGGCUUGAUUCGCUGGAUUAAGGACUUCGAGAGGAAUCCACGAAGCCCUUACUUGCCAGAUUUCGUUGAGGUUAGAUUGGUCGAAUCCGUGCUGUACCUGACUGCUGCGAAUUUUGGGACUGAAACGGUGAUUUGUGCUUUGUAGAGCGUGGUGUUAGCUCGACUCCCGGAUUUGGAGGGUGUAGAUCGACCAGCAGGUGGUGCUGCAGCUGUGAGGGUGUUUUGCUGCCAGAAUUAGCGACUAAGGUGGGUUUACAUCGGUUUAUUCCUAAGUGUAGUAAUAGUCGACAUGUAUGAUUUUCUGUUCGGUAAAUCAUAUUGUAGUUCGUUUUUCAUAAUGAUAUCCUGGAUAAAUGCUGCAUAUAUAACCUGAUUAUUACCUUUUAAAUAUACAUGUUGGACUGGGUUUAAACUUAGGAGAAAACGCGAUUGGAAUCGACAUAUGUAUUAACUGCCUGAUUUAGCUCUAGGAGCCGUUAUAGAAUUGUACUGUCGCAGCAUACUGUAGACGAGUACUUCAGGUAGUUUAGAAUACAUUUACGCUCGUGCUGGUAUGCCGAGUGAAUUUUUCUGAGGUCGUUUAGACUGUUUCGUACUAGUGGGCGCCGUCGGGACUGACGGUGGGCCCGGUUCGCCGUUUUGGCGUCGGAUUGUGCCGAGGGCACGUUGUUUGUUGGUUGUUAGACCAGUUUGAGUCGAUUACUUGACUUUGGCUAGUUGGAGCCUGAUUGAGCUCGACAGAGAUACGCUGCAUACUCGGUUGGGUAGCUCCCACGAGUGCCACUCCGGAGGCGGGCGCGGUGCUUUUGCGUUGGUGUCGCUCAUGCCAGUUGGACUUGCUCUCCACGGACCAGCUAGUGUGGAUAGAGCCUGAUAGUCGCAACGGGGCAGGGACGGGUGUGUUCACAGUCCCAGGGACGGGUAUGUUUACAGUCCCAAUUGGAUUGGGUCAGAUUUGACAUUUCCUACAGUCGGUUAAUGUAGAGCAUGAUAGUGUAGUGGAUGAUAGCGAUAGAGUGUACUUCCUGCUUUUCCUUCUAUCCUUGCUCCCUUCUGUAGACUUAGUGGGUGACCGAUGUCGUUUUGGGCGGUACCCACUGAGGACUACUUGUUUUUACAGUAGUUCUCACGCCCAGUUGUUACCUAUGUUUUGCAGAGCCACAGGUUUCGGCUACUGCGCCUUCCGCGGAUCAGGAUCGAGGCAAGGGCGUCGCGAGGUAGAGCCCUACCCGACUGACAGAGCUAGAGGCACCCCCCUACUGCAGGUAGUUGCUAUUUUAGAGUUUAUGUACAUAGUUGUUUAACUCGCCGGUGCGAGUAGCUUUGUAUUUUGGAUUUGGACUAUAUAUAUGAAACUCAGUUGUUUAGCUUUGUAUAUUGAGCAGCUCUAUGCUACUGUUUGUAGUAUUGUAUAUUUACAGGUACUUUUGACGCUUCGUAUACAGGGGAAAUUCCUUGUAUACGGCGGAUUUGUCGGCGUGCCCGGGGAACGAGACAUCCGGGGCGUGACAUUAUUUUUAUAAUAGAAUUGUAUAGACAAAAUUAAUUCAAAUUUUGGUAGUAAAAAUUGAUUUUUAAAAAUAAUAAAAUCAUGUAUUGUAAUUUAAAAUAUAAGCCGAAAACAAAAUAAAUUUAAAGUUUAGAACCUAAAAAGUAUAGAGAAAUCUUCAAUAAAUCUAAAUAAUAUAGUACAAUUUAAACUUAUCAAUAAAUAAAUUUAUACUGUAUAAUUCAAAUUUUAAGUUAAUAAUGCCACACACCUUUUCCGUCAGAAUAUUGUUUUCUGAUCCAUUAGCCAUCGCAAAUUUCAAUAAGUUAUUACUAUCAAAACUAAACAAAAUUAAUAUCCUACAAUAUGAUAAAAUUUGAAAAUUCUCAGAUCGAACUAGAAAAAAAUUAACUAACAAAUUAAAUCACAAAAUAAUCUAAAUUUCAUUCUUAUUUUAUUAAAAAAAGAUUUAGAAAGCAAUAGAUAUGGAAAUAAAUUUUAAUACAUAGUUUCUUAAAAUUAAAUUGAUUUGCAAUAUUAAACAAAUAAACAAAGGGAAAAAAAAAUUAAAAGAUCAUAUUGUCAAAUCAUUUGAAAUUUUUCUUAUAUGAAAUGUCAAAUUAUGAAAGGAAAGAUAGAGAGAGAAAAAGGAAACAAAGAAAAAAUACAAAUUUUGAGGUAAAAUAUAGUAAAGGUAAAAUAACUAAAUUACUCAUAUAUUAAAAGUCAAAAAUGCCCUUUUUUGAGGUACCUGAUAACCGGUACCUCUCCCAAAGUGAUCUGCUAUUGCAGGUCACAAUUUAAAAAAAACUAAAUCUGAGUCGUUGAAUACGCAUGAAUGAACGGUAAUAAAAAAAAAAAAAAGUAUAGAAGCAUUACUCUUUUUAAUAUUAAUAUUCAACAAUCUCAAUUACCUAUUUGCAUUAAAAAAAAAUUCCAUUUAUCUCAUAAAGGCCAAAAAAAUAAAAUGGAAUGAUUAUUAAAUUUAAAUUGGAUAAAGAAAGUAGCAGAAUACAUAAGUGAAUUUGAUAGUUUUAUUUGCGAGAGUAAAAAAUUAUGAUGCAGGUGAAACUGCAAGAGCUUUUUUUUUUUUCCAAGUUGGGCCCACAAUCCGUAUAAUCGUAUAACACUAAAACAAAUUUACUAAAUUCAAAGUCAUAAAUACAAGCAGAAUUCAUUUGCCUUUGUCGUAGAAUUUAUUUUUCAAAUAAAUGAAGAAAAUAGCAUGCUACAUUUAUCUUAGAAAAAAUAUAUAUAAACUUGCAAAGAAUGGACGUUAGUGACGCGCAAACAUCAACACAUACAUUUUCUUUUAUAUAUAUAUAUAUAUAUAUAUAUAUAUAGAGUGAGGCUACUAUGCUAUCGAAAGCACGGAGCCUUCCGUGCUUGCAGCUCGUUUUCGAUGUUGCGACUUUCGAAUCGUCGAUCGGCUCUGUUAAACUUGAUCUAGAUUAUUUGAAGUACCUAGAAAAUAAAUUUUAUGAUUUUACGAUAUCAUUUGCCUAGUGAACGAAGGGGCUCAAAAUCAACGGCUGAAAAUAAAAAUCUUACAAAAUGUAAUAAUAUGACAUUAAAAUUUUAAAUCAAAGAUAUUGAUCUUGUUUUAUAUAGUAUAAANNNNNNNNNNNNNNNNNNNNNNNNNAACAUCGAAAAUAAAGUGGAAGCACGGAGCCCUCCGUGCUUCCAUAAGCAUCCUAGCCGCACUCUCUCUCUCACUCUCUCUCUCUCUCUCUCUCUCUCUCUCUCUCUCUCUAUAUAUAUAUAUAUAUAUAUAUAUAUAGGCUGGGGCUACUAUACUCUUAUGAGUAUAGACCCUCUUGUACUUAUAAAUUUUUAACCGUUGAUUGAUAGGAUAUGUGGUUAGGAUGAUGGUGGUCCCCACUUAGAAUAAUAGUAGUUCCCUAGGGUUGAGUAGGUAGUUGGUUGAAUAGUAUGAUUUAACAGGUGAAAAUGAUCAAUGGAAUAAAUCUAAUGGUCAAAAACUUAUGAGUAUAAAAGAGCCAAUACUCAUAAAAGUAUAGUAGCCGGACUCUCUCUCUCUCUCUCUCUCUCUCUCUCUCUCUAUAUAUAGGGUCCGGCUACUAUACUAUUAUGAGUACGAUCGCCCUCGUACUCAUAAGUUGUUUUUGAUGAUAGAGCUUCCGAAUCGACGAUCCACACUGUUAAACAUUAUUUACAGCAUUUAAAACUUCUAGAAAUCAAAUUUUAUAAUUUUUCGACAUUAUUUAUCUUAUGAUCAAGAGAUCACAAAUUCGACAAUUUUUAAUGGCCAGUAUGGAAUACUUGCUAGUUUAACGGUGUAAAAGAAUCGAAAUUUGUUGAAUUUUUGAUAGAAAGUUCUAUUCACUACAUAGAUAAAGAUCAAUAACUCCGAUUUUGAAUUGAAGGAUCCGAUCAUCCUUUUUUAGGACGUCGUUCGAUUUUGACCGUUCAUUUUGUGCCCACUUGAUGGAUUUUAUUAUGAUUUCAAAAAUUUACGAAAUUUAUUUUCUAGAAGUUUCAAAUACUCUAGAUCAUAUUUAACGGAGUGGAUCGUCGAUUCGGAAGCUCCAUCAUUGAAAACAACUUAUGAGUACGAGGGNNNNNNNNNNNNNNNNNNNNNNNNNNNNNNNNNNNNNNNNNNNNNNNNNNNNNNNNNNNNNNNNNNNNNNNNNNNNNNNNNNNNNNNNNNNNNNNNNNNNNNNNNNNNNNNNNNNNNNNNNNNNNNNNNNNNNNNNNNNNNNNNNNNNNNNNNNNNNNNNNNNNNNNNNNNNNNNNNNNNNNNNNNNNNNNNNNNNNNNNNNNNNNNNNNNNNNNNNNNNNNNNNNNNNNNNNNNNNNNNNNNNNNNNNNNNNNNNNNNNNNNNNNNNNNNNNNNNNNNNNNNNNNNNNNNNNNNNNNNNNNNNNNNNNNNNNNNNNNNNNNNNNNNNNNNNNNNNNNNNNNNNNNNNNNNNNNNNNNNNNNNNNNNNNNNNNNNNNNNNNNNNNNNNNNNNNNNNNNNNNNNNNNNNNNNNNNNNNNNNNNNNNNNNNNNNNNNNNNNNNNNNNNNNNNNNNNNNNNNNNNNNNNNNNNNNNNNNNNNNNNNNNNNNNNNNNNNNNNNNNNNNNNNNNNNNNNNNNNNNNNNNNNNNNNNNNNNNNNNNNNNNNNNNNNNNNNNNNNNNNNNNNNNNNNNNNNNNNNNNNNNNNNNNNNNNNNNNNNNNNNNNNNNNNNNNNNNNNNNNNNNNNNNNNNNNNNNNNNNNNNNNNNNNNNNNNNNNNNNNNNNNNNNNNNNNNNNNNNNNNNNNNNNNNNNNNNNNNNNNNNNNNNNNNNNNNNNNNNNNNNNNNNNNNNNNNNNNNNNNNNNNNNNNNNNNNUAUUCUAAUAUCCCACUUUAGCUCCUUAAGAGAAGAGGCUAACAAUAUGGGCCUUUGGAUCAAAAGAACCAUGAUCCAAAAGCUUACAAAUAGGGCCCCACAUACAUGAUAAGAAAAUAUAGAAAGAGGAGAUUUUGACUUCACCAAAUUACAUAGCCCAAAUAGCAAGACCUAAAUAAUAAAUAGGCCCAAUAUAAUUAGCUCAACAAUAUAUAUAUAUAUAAUGGGCAUCGUAUUGAUUGCCAAACCUCUUUUUAUCUGGAGACAAAUAUAAGUAGUGCAAUAUUCCAAAACAAAAGGCUAUGGCAGUUCUGCAGUACGUUUGAUGAAGUCUAGAUCAUCAUCGUGCAUAGGAUUCCACCAGUAGAAGUCCAGACAUUUUACCGAUGUUAAGCGCUCCGCGAGAAUUUGUGGAACAGAUGGUCGAGCAGGGUCAUAGGAAUUUGCCAGAUGCACAAUCUUGAGACUUGGAAAUGUGCCGCUUGGGAGAGAAGAUAGCAGCAGCUCACUGUUAGCGCACAAAUACAGCUGCUCAACGGACGGAAAAGAUGAAGGCAGUUCUUUCAGUUUUCGGCAGUCUAGUAGCCUCAACUCCCACAGACGAGGGAAAGAUCGUCGCCCAGCUGAUGCUUCACACCACUCCUCCAACUCAGGCAUGUGUUCUAGACUCAAGUUCUCCAAUACUGGGAACGCACCAUCACCUGCACCAUAGAACUCUGAGCCCAGGCUCUUGACUGCUAGGAGAGAAGCGAGAUUCAAAACUUUAAGAGCAGGCAACUGCCCGAGCAGCGGAAGAGACUUGACGGCGGGAAGCUUCUUGAGAGAAAGGGUCUCAAGGUUAUGCAAUUGACUUAUUCUUGGGAGGGUCUCACAUCUGAAACAAGAAGAUAAGUAAAUCUCAACAAGAUUUGGAAAACUCGACUCCAACCAUUUUGGAAAAAUUUUGCCCGGGUAGCAAAAUAUCGCCAAUAGGGUCAAAUUUUCGUGCGGUUGGAGGCCGUUGAGGACUUCUUCGGCUACUGCAAGUGCAUUGAUCAGACCUUGCCUGCUUCUUCCUUCUACGUUAGUGCGCGUGCUGUAGGCUUCCAUUUUCUUCUUGUAAGUAUCCAGGUCCCAUGCCAACCCUACUGAGUGAAGACCAUCCAUUUCUAUUAAGUUAGCCUCUCUAGCCUGUUGGAAAUUCUUCACAUUUUCUAGGUUAGCAAUCCAUAGGAAGCCUUCAAGAUUAAGUUUGUUGAGCUCCUUGAGUCCACACUCGCUCUUUUCGCAAAGCUCAAAGAGCAGUAGGUCUCGAAAGUAGCUUGGCUGUACAAGUCCAGCGGGUAUGCACGUUAAUUUAUGGCAAUGACCUGUGCAAAGACAUGUGAGGCUUUCCGUGUUCUGCUUGUUCUCUGGGAGCUCGCGCAGAAAGUAACAGCUUGUUAGAUUAAUUGAUCGAAGAUCUGAGAGGCAACAUACGCUUUCGGGCAACUUUUUUAUCCUGGUAUAUGCGAGGUUUAAGGUUUGCAAACUCUUUAAAUGACCAAUGGAAGUUGGUAGGGAAACAAAGCUUGUGCAGCGUUCAAGAUUCAGUAUUACUAGAUUGAAGAGAUUACCAAUGGAGUCUGGUACUUCCUUUAAAAAUCGACAUCCUUGCAGGUCCAAAACUUGUAGAUUCUGCAAAAAACCAAUAGAUUGUGGCAGUGUUUGAAGGUUUGUGUAUGACAAAUUGAGAUACCUUAGGUGUCUAAGAUUACUAAUUGAAUUUGGCAAUUCUUUGAUGGGGUAGUAUUUCAGAUAAAGUGCUCUUAGAAGCUUCAUACUAGAGAAAACAGUUUGAAGAAUCUUCAGCAUCAUAUCUUCCUUUCCUAUCUGCACAAAAGGAUGUGAUUUGAGGAAGUAAAAGGUUCUCAACUUUUUGGCUUUAUUGAGAAUCUCUAAAACCGAUGGUAUUAUCUCUAUUGUGUAGAUAAAUGAUGAAUAACGUGUCAUAGGAUAUAUGUCUCUUUUAUUGACAGCUUUGGCGAUGCUUGAACAUUCUUCACCUGAAACAAAUUGAGCGAGAUCAUGAACAAGAUCAUGAAUCAUGAUGGCACCUAUCAUAUGCCUAAGUUCCUCGAAAAGUGAUCUCGAUAAUAGCUCUUCGAUAUAUUGGUAACCCACACCUUCCAAUUCCACACUCUCGUUGAGUGAUCGGAUAAAUCCUUCAGCAAUCCAAAGUUGGAUCAGGUCCUUAGUUAUUAUAAUAGUAUCCUUUGGAAAUAUGGAGCAAUAUGCAAAGCAUUGCUUCAGGUGCGACGGCAAAUGAUUAUAACUCAACCUUAGAGCUGGUAAAAUCCUAUUCGCUUCUAACUUCCAACUAUCAUUGUCCCGAACAGCCAACCACUCACUUUCCCUUCUCUUAGAGCGCAUCAAGCUACCUAAAACCUUUGCUGCCAGCGGAACACCGCCACAUUUUUUCACAAUCUCCUUUCCAAUGGUAACUAAGUUUGUCGUCUUCUCACAAGCACCUAUCCCAAAUGCUCUUCUCUCAAACAACAACCAACAAUCAUCCUCGGAUAAAGUCUUCAAAAAGUGUGGCUCCACCGUCGCCAUUAGUGAGGCAACUCUACUAUUACGGGUGGUCACUAUAAGUUUACUUGCGGUGGCCCCGGUAGUUAACAAAGUCCUAAAUAUGUCCCAUUUCUCGUAAUUUUCAUUCCAUACAUCAUCCAGCACGAGCAAAAAUAUUUUUUUCUCAAGCUCCUGUUUUAGUUUAGACUGCAUCGACGCCAUGCUUGUGAGAUCACAAGCAUUUCCCGUUGUAUGCUCUAUUAUUGAUCUGACAAGCCUUUUAUGGUCAAAAUCAUCAGAAACACAUACCCAUAUUCUCUUCUCAAAGUGAUCGCUUAUUUGUCGAUCAUUAUAGACUAAUUGCGCGAGUGUCGUCUUACCAAGCCCUCCCAUCCCAACAAUUGUUAUGAUCCCGAGAUCACCUCCAGAUGUGUCCACAAGAAAUUCGACGAUCUUUUUCUUAUCUUCUUCCCUACCAUAAACUUCCGAUUCAAUUACGAAGGAGCUAGUUUCUUCUCUCACCACAUUCUCUUGCCUACAGCAUGUUACUACACAUCUCUCUUGCAAAUGAAACUUAGAUCUCUCCUCUGCAAGCUCAUCUAGUCUCUCCCUUAUUUCCCUUAUCUCCCUAGCUAUCUUUAACUGAAACAUAACUGAGUUAGGCAAUGACAGCACUUUACUUACCGUUCCCUUCAUCCAGCUAGUGGUACUGCUUUCCGGAUCAGUUAAACUCCUCUUUCGGUUCCUGGUGAAGUCCUCGUCUAGCAGAUCGUCGAUAUCGUAGGCCACAUCUUUGAGGCGUCUCAGCCACCCUCUGAGGGCCUUCUCCUGCACUUGCCUCUCCUCCGCAUCCUCAAGCACGUCGCGGAUGAUGGAGAGGGUGCCCUCCAGCUUCUUCAGCUCGGCGCCGAUGUCCCUCAGCCAACCAAACUCGUCGACUAUUUGGUUCGGCAGCCUGUCGAGCAAGGAGCUGAGGAUGCCGGAAGCCACAACGUCGGUCAUUGUGUUUUGAUGGUUCGAUAAUCCUUUCCGUGGUCAAUAAAUUGCUUCUCCGCGGUUAUGUGGACUACCAACUUGAUGGAAAUGUGAAGGAAUAUACGAGGUGGCAUUGGUAGAAUUUUUUUUUUUUUUUUUUUUAAUUAAACAGGGAUCCACCCUAUUUGGUAAAGGAGGUACAAGCAGAGUAGACAAAAAGGAGUCUUGUUCAUUGGAGAACAAGGAGAGUACAAAUGAGAAAGAGUGGAAGAAACAGAGUAGUCGAACAAGGAGAGUACACUGUUCGGCAUUGGUAGAAAUUUAGGACCACUGCUUUUAAGGAUGUUUUCGAGAAGUUCACACUGACAGUUGACUUGACCUUGUUAGUCCCAUAUAGACGGUAACAGUUGACUUGAUCUUGUGAGUCCCAUAUAGAUGGUACACACUAUGUAUAAGCCAUAGAAUUAGGGGUGGCACUUCGGCCAUUAUUUGCGAGUCAGCUAGUGUUUGGUUUGAGAUGAGUUUGAGAUCGAAUUGCUCAUUUAGUAAACGAGCCGAACACAAGUUGAAUUUUUCAACUUGUAUAAUGAAUGACUUGAACACGAGAUGGGGUCAACUCGUUCGUGAUCGGCUCGAUAACAGCUCGAAUGCAUAUAUUUUAUAUUUAUAUAAUAUAUAUAAUUUUAUAUUUGUAUAUAUAAAUAAAUAAUUAUAUAUAUAUAAUACAUAUUUUUAUUAUUUGAUUUUUAGCUCAACCUAAAUAUAAAACACAAUUUAAUUAUAAAAUUUCAACCAUUAGAUCAAAGUCUAAUAGAUAAGACAUCAUAAAUUUAUUUUCUAUAUAUAUAUUCUUUCUAAUUUUUUUAUUUAUUGUUUAUGAGCCGGCUCGUGUUUGGCUCGUUAAUAGACGAGUCGAACACGAACUGAAUUUUUCAGUCCUAUACUGUAACGAAUCAACUCAUGUUUGGCUCAUUUAUGAAACGAGUCGAACACGAGCCCGCCUCAGCUCGCCCAUAUUCGGCUCGCCAACAGCCCCUAUAUAGAAUCUACGGACAAGUUAAUUACACAAUAUUGACUCACAUGGUAUCACAUUCUCUGCUUCAGAGUGCUUCAAAACAUUUUGGAAAUUAUAUAGAGUAUAUAUCUUAUAUUCAUAAGUUUUUGGAUUAAAAAAAUGCUCUCGACUUUCUGCUAAAAAUAAAUUGAUCAGACAUAGUUAAUGGAUCCUAAGUAUCUAUAGCGUAGAGGCCGACCGUUCCUAGAUCAAGUGGCAAAGGAUUUGGUGGUUGGUAUCCGAGGUCUUAAAUUCGAAUCUUAGUUGAUUCAUAUUUUCAGCUAAGUUUAUUUCUAAAUAAAAUAAACAAAACGAGUAGAGUACUGCCUAUCUCUUAAAAAAAAACUAUCUAUAGCGUAGAGUGUUUAUCUUAUACCUAGAUUUUUGGCGUACAAAUAACAUUACUUAAAAUUUUUUAGGUUAAUUGCAACCAUGGCCCUUGGCCUUCGUUUAAAUACUUAUUUUGGUCCCUAAUAUUGUUUUUGUUUACAAUUAGAUUCUUAACUUUUAUGGUUAAUUGCACCCUUAGGUUCCGUUUGGUUCGAAAAUUAGUUGGAAUUAGUUAUAUCAGUGAUAGGUAUAAGUAUGAGUUUUUGUAAGGAUAAGGUUUUUUUUUUUUGGAUGAAAAUGUGAGUAUAAACUGGAACUAGAAAAAUUGUGUUUGGAUGAUUAUUGAGAAUAAGAGGAAUAGUUGGUAGUCAUAAAUAGAAAAUAAUGAUAUUACUCCUAUAAUUAAAUUUAAAAUUUAAAAUUUUAAACUUAUAAUUUUAAAUUGAAAAUUUUAAUUUUUAAAUUUAAUUAUUUUAAUUCACUCUGAAAUUAAACAUUAAAAAUUUUUAAUUUCAAAAUUAAUUUAAAUAUCAAAUUUUAAAUUUAAUACGGCAAAUUUAAAUUGUGAAAGAUAUAACGAAUAUCAAAUUUAAAUUUAAAAACUAAAAUUAUCACAUUUAAAUUUAAAUUUAAAAAUAUCAAUUUAAAAUUUAAAUUUUAAAAUUUAAUUUUAAUUUAAUAAAUUUUAAAUUUCUGAAGAUUAUAAUUUUUACAACAUUUAAAUUUAGAUUUAAAAUAUAUAUAUCUUCUCUCUUCUACCCGGCAGAUAUUCGCACCACUGGGGUGGGAACAGUUCGUUCCCAACCCAUGAACCGGUAGGGUACUUGGGUGGAAAUAACUUGUUACCACACCCACCCAAAUAGUGUGUUUGAGUAGCAAAAGCGGGAUCAAUCCUAAUCUAAUGCUGUGUUUGAAUUGGGUAAAACAAGAGGGGAGGAUAAGGGGGUUAUCCGCCCUCUUGUACCGAACACCAUUUGGGUGAGUAGAGCGAACAUACUAUUCCACCAGGGGUGGGAACACCCCCGGAUAGAGAGAGAGAGAGAGAGUAGAGAGAGUAAUUUAUUUUAAAUUUAAAUUUAAAUUUUUUAAAAUUUAUAUUUUAAAUUUUAUUAAUUUAUAAUUUAAAAUAAAUUUGAUGUUAAAUUUUAAUUUUGAUAUUUUUAAAUUUAAAAUUUUAAUUUGAUAUUUUUAGUUUUUAAAUUUUAAAUUUGAUAUUUUAUAUCUUUCAAAUUUAAAUUUGGUCUUAAAUUUAAAAUUUGAUAUUUAAAAUUAAAAUUUUGAAAAUUAAAAUUUUAAAUUUUAAUUUCAGAUUUUAAAAUUUAAAAGUUAAAAUUUUUAAUUUAAAAUUAUAAGUUUAAAAUUUAAAAAUUUAAAUUCAAUUAUAGGGGUAAUAUUAUUAUUUACUAUUUAUAACCAUCAACUAUUUCUCUUAUUCUCAAUAACCAUCCAAACACAAUUUUUUUAGUUCCGGCUUAUACUCAUAUUUUUAUCCAAACAAAAAAAUACUUUUGUUCUUAUAAAAAUUCAUACUUGUACCUAUCCCCGUUAUAACUAGUUCCUACUAAUUUUCGAACCAAAUGAAGUUAGUCUCUAAACUUUACAAAUUUUUUCACUUUGGUAACUUGGUUUGUAAUUAAUCUCUUCUCCUAUAUGCAUAUCCCAUCAUAUCAAGCCUAAUUUUACCCCUCUCGAUAUCGUCUUCUAUACCUACAGCGAUCUCGACCUUGUAUAAGACAUUAAUUAUGUUUUUCAGAGUAUUCAAUAGCUUGAUGAAGUUAGUGAAACUACCUAAUUCUUCCAAAUACUUAAAAAAGUUGGUGUUUAAAUUGAACAAAGUUAUUUGAUUAUUAUCGUGGUUUAUAUGAUGAGACAAAACAGACAUGUCUUAUUUUACCAGAAUUAAUAAGAAUUUUUAUAUGAUUGGACCUAACUGAAAUAAUAUACAAUUAUUCAGAUCGCAAAACAAAAAAGAUAGAGACCAAAAUUAAAAAAAAGAAAAAAGGUUGAGAGCCAAUUGUUCACAAUCUAAAUGAAUGAAGUCGUAGCAUGCUACCUAUUUUUCAAAAAAAAAAAAUCUUUUUUUGAGUGUACAAGUUCCAUUUCUCUUGCUCAUCUAUCAUGUUCAAACCUUAGUUAGUUAAUUCGCAUGUAAUACGCGAAUAAUUCGCGACUAAUUGGAAAAACGUUUAAAACGUCCCGUCUACGAAUUUUUUCGAAAAAAUUGGAAUAAAACGUGUUUUUUUUCCAUACUCAAAAUAUUUGCGAUCAAAACGGUAUUCGCGAAUUAUAUUCGGAAAAAUUCUGAUUUAGCGGCGGUGAAACGAUGAAAUUUUUCAAAAAAAAUUGGAUUGGGCUGCCGUGGAGAUGUAAUUUCUCGAACGGGCGUCGCACGACCACCGCUCCGCAGAUCCGUACAUCUUUCCCGAGCAGUCGGGCAAUUUUGCUUCUUCUAUUUUGAAGAAACCAUGGAGAUGCAGCAAGCGGACACGGAGCAAGCGAAGAAGAAAAGAGGUGGGACAAGGGCGACGAAAAUCACGGUGCACCGUGUUGGGAAGAAGGGUGGUCCCCGAGGACUCAGCCUCGUGGACCGCGUGGGGUGGACACACCGCGUUGGGAAAAAGCGCAGUCCACAAAGUUGAGUGCAGCCUCGUGGACGCGUGGGGUGGACGCACCGCGUUGGAAAAAAGCGUGGUCUAUAAGGCUCACUCAACCUCGUGAACUGUGUGGAGCACUCUCCCUUUGUGUUUAACUGUUUAUACUAGUAAAUUACCCGCGCGAUGCUGCGGAUAUAAAAUAUUUUAAUAAUAAAUUUUAAUUAAAAUAUUCAUAUUAUUUUAAUUUUUAAUUAUUAAUUAUAUAAAUUUAAAAAUAAUUUGAAUAAAAAGAAUGUAAAUUGGUUUAUGUGCUACAAAAUUUUUUGUAAGAACUUGCAAGUAACUAAAUAAUUUUAUAAAGAAAUAUAUAAGCAAAAAAUUAUUAAAAAAUUCAUAAGAAAAAAAGGUUGUUGGGAGAAGCUCUUUUAGUCUUCAACUCUUCAUACAUAGGAAAAGAAAAAUUUUCUAUAAGAUUCACUAUUCAAGGUUCUAUAAGGUUUCACCAUUUAAACUAAAAUAUAAUUUAAUAAAUAUAAUCUAUAUCAUAUAAAAAUACAUUUGUAAAAAAUAUUUGAUCAAAUUUUGUAUAAAUUUUAAUAAAUAUUUUAUUUAGUUAACCAAAAUUAAUCAUAAAAAGUUAAAAAAAACUAUAAAAAUCAAUUAAAAAAUUAAAUUUGAGCAGUCUAUUGCAAAGGGUCUUAAUAGUUGAGAGGGUCCUCACAUUUUUUUUGCCAAAACAUCUUUUGCUAAAAAUGUAUAGAAACUUCCUAAACUUUUAAUUUUUUAAUUAAGGUAAUUUUAUCAAAAAAUUUAUAAAUUUUGUUAAAUUCAUUAGUAAUUUCGUUAGAUUUAGAAUUUUAAUUUUUUUUGGUCAUUUUAAUGUAACUAAGCAUAAAAAUUACAGUAAGAAAUAAAACUUGAUUGGGUCUUAAUUCAAAAAAAUUAUAGUUGGGGGUUAUCUAUAUAUGUUUAUUUAUAUUAAAGGAAAUGAUACUAUUUGAUGCACCAAGUGUAUAAAUAAAUUUUGUGCACUUUAUUUUUGAAAAUCUGAUAUAAAAAUUUAAACUCUAGUAAAUUUUGAUAUAUAGACAUUUUAUAUAGAUAGGUCGCAUUUAUAAAAUUAUAUUUUAAUUUAAUAAUACUAAUUAUAAAAAGUUAGGAUUAAUAUAUGUAAUAUUUAUAGACCUAAUUAUAAAAAGUUAGGAUUAAUAUAUAUAAUAUUUAUAGACCUAAUUAUAAAAAGUUAGGAUUAAUAUAUGUAAUAUUUAUAGACUGGGUGCGGGCAAAGUUUUUCUAUAAAUAAAGAGUGGGUAGGGAAGAAAUCAUUCGGGUCUAUACUUGUAUUUAACAUCAUACUAAUAAAUCCAUAUUGCUGGAACUUAAAGCCUAUAAUAUUUUGUACAUAAACUUAUUAUAAAAUGUAAAUUAUAUUUAUUAAAUUAUAUUUAAUUUUAAAUUGAAAAAAUAGAUUUGAUGUAUAUUAUAUUUGUGUAGAUCGGGUGCAUGCAAUUUUUUUAAAGAGAGACAGAAGAGCUUUAGGAGGACACUUGUCACCUCCUAAGGGCCUUGAGGUGACCCAACUCUCCUUUAAUGGAGUAGUAAAGUAAUAGAAGUAAUAUAUAUAUAUAUAUAUAUAUAUAUAUAUAUAUAUAUAUAUAUAUAUAUAUAUAUAUAUAUAUAUACUAUGCUAUCGGAUGCAUUGAGGAUCUGAUGCUUCCAACUUUUUGACCAUUGAAUUAAAAAUUAUACGGUUGGGAUGAUUGCGGUCCUCUAGAGUUGAAUUGUAUCCCUAGGGUUGAGUUGUCCCCACAUGGUAAUAGUAUUAAUCCAAAAAUUAGAAAUGAUCAAAGGAGUUGAUCUAAGGGCCAAAAAAUCGAAAGCACCAGAUCCUCUAUGCUUCCGAUAGCAUCGCAGCUUUACUAUAUAAAUAGAGAGAGAGAGAGAGAGUGAGGCUACUAUGCUUCUGGAAGCAUAGAGCCUUUUGUACUUUCAGAUCGUUUUCGAUGUUGCGGUUUUCGAAUCGUCGAUCGGCUCUGUUAAACUUGAUCUAGAGUAUUUGAAGUACUUAGAAAAUAAAUUUUAUAAUUUUUCGAUAUCAUUUGCCUAGUGAUCGAAGGGACUCAAAUCAUUAAUUUUAAUGGCCGUGGUGAGCCGUUUGCAAGUUUAACGGCGUAGAAAUAUCCAAAUCACGUGAAAUUUUGAUAGAAAAUUCUUUAUACUAUAUAAAAUAAGAUCAAUAUCUUUGAACUAAAAUUUUAAUGUCAUAUUAUCACGUUUUAUAAGAUUUUUAUUUUCAGCUGUUGAUUUUGAACCCCUUAGUUCACUAGGCAAAUGAUAUUGAAAAAUUACAAAAUUUAUUUUCUAGAUACUUCAAAUACUCUAGAUCAAGUUUAAUGGAGCCGAUCGACGAUUCGAAAGUCGCAACAUCAAAAACGACCGUGCUUCUAGAAGCAUAGUAGCCGCACUCUCUCUCUCUCUCUCUCUCUAUAUAUAUAUAUAUAUAUGAGUCACAUUGCUAUACUCUUAUGAGUACGAUCGCUUCGUACUCAUAAGUCGUUUUCGAUGAUAGAGCUUCCGAAUCGGCGAUCCAUACCAUAAAACAUUAUCUAGAGCAUUUAAAACUUCUAAAAAUUAAAUUUCAUAAUUUUUCGACAUCAUUUACCUUACGAUCAAAAAGUCACAAAAUUGACAAUUUUUAACGACCGGUAUGGGAUACUUGCUAGUUUAACGGUGUAAAAGAAUCGAAAUAGGUUGAAUUUUUGAUAGAAAAUUUUAUUCACUAUCUAGAUAAAGAUGAAUAACUCCGAUCUUAAAUUGAAGAGUCCGAUCAUCUAUUUUUAGGACGUCGUUUAAUUUUGACCAUUCAUUUUAUGCCCGCUUGAUGGACUUUAUUAUGAUUUCGAAAAAUUACGAAAUUUAUUUUCUAAAAAUUUUGAAUACUCUAGAAUUUUUAACGGUGUCAGAUCAUCCAUUUUUAGGAUGUCGUUUAAUUUUGACCGUUCAUUUUAUGCCCGCUUGAUGAACUUUAUUAUAAUUUCGAAAAAUUACGAAAUUUAUUUUCUAAAAAUUUCAAAUGCUCUAGAUCAUUUUUAACAGCGUGAAUCGUCGAUUCGGAAGCUCUAUCAUCGAAAACAACUUAUGAGUACGCAGGGCUCUAUACUCGUAAGAGUAUAGUAGCCCUACUCUCUCUCUCUCUCUCUCUCUCUCUCUCUCUCUAUAUAUAUAUAUAUACACACACACACAUUAUUUUAUAUAUUAUUUUAUAUUAUUUUAUUUUUAUAUUUGUAAGAAUUAUAAUUAUUUAUGAUAAUAGCAUAAUUCUAAAGAAAAAUAAUAAUUUAGUAGACGAAUUUUUAUUUCUAAUUUUUAAAUAAUAAGAGUAAAAUUCUCGUAUAAAUCGCGUAUAUGAAGUAUUAACGAAUUCGAUUUUUAAACCGUAUUUUUUAACGAAUUUAAAAAUUAAGAUAUAAAUUUUAGUCGUAUUUUAUCCGUACCGAAUUUUUACCGUAUCCGAAUUAACUAACUAUGAUUCAAUCAGGAAAUAUGUACAAUAAUCACGACAAUUAUGACUUAGAAGUUUUUAACCUAUGAUGUUGACCAUCGAGGUUGGUUUACUAUAUCUUUUAUUAUUUACUGUAAUUAUGUUGGCCAACACGACCCACAGUUGCAUAUUAUGAAAUAAUACGAAAUAAUAUUGUACUUUAAAAGCUUAGCCCGAUAAAAAAUAAUAUUUAAAUAUUUUUAUAUUUAACAUUUUGUUCCACGUUUGGUCUUGAAACUUUUUGUAAGAUCAAGACUGAACUUUAAUUAAAUUUAAAUAAAAAAAAUUAAUAAUGCUAGGAGCCAUGGGGUACUAUUUUGACCACCAGAGUAAUCCCAAUGUGAUAAAAAGGCGGAGUUAAUCGAGAACUAAGGAUAUUCCAGAAGCAUCACCCAUUAAAUUUAAAGCAAAAAAAAAAUCUUUCGCUCGUUUUUCUUUUGGAAGAACAGUAGCAGCAGGUGAGCACUCCUCUUCCACACUGUUCUCUGAUCUGAUGGGAAGAGGGGGUUGGCUAUUGGUCUCCUGGGUCUAAGGGAGGUUGCUAUCCACCUAAUCUUAUCUUGGUCCAUGAAUAAGCACUAGCUCACGCAUGUACUCGCCGCACCUUUUGCCUUCCCCCACCUCACCCCUAAAAUAAUAUUUUUUUGAUUAAACAGGAAUAUACCUUAUUUGAUAAAGAGAGUACAAGUUUAGACUGCAAAGUUUAGCUCGGCUUUGCCCAAGUAGGGUCAGUAAGCUAACUUGUGAAGAUACAUCAGAAUCAGUAAUAAAAGCUGGUAGAAUCAAACAAUCGAGCACACUAGGACCCCAGGAUAGACUUCCAGAGCUUAACAACUGAGACAACAGUCGUUCCCAAUUCUCAUACGUAGAAUGCCGAUUACUGAAGAUUCUUGCAUUCCGCUCUUUCCAAAGUUCCGAACAGGCUCCAACAAAGUAAAGGUUGAAAAGUGUUUUUGCUGCUGCCGCCAAGGACUCUCUACCUCGCGUCCAUCUAGUCGAGGUGUCUCCAACUCGAUUGACCGUUAACUACCUCGCGUCCAUCUAGUCGAGGUGUCUCCAACUCGAUUGACCGUUAAUUCAGCAGUGACUGGGGUGCUAGAGAGGAGUCGGUUCCACAGAGACCUUGCAUAGUUGCAUCGAAAGAGGAGGUGAUCCAGGUUUUCUUCGUUGGCGGAGCAUAACACGCGUAUGGAUGGUCCCUGUCAACCUCGUUUUGCUAGUGAAUCAGCUGUCAAGAUCCUGUUCCCCGUUACUAACCACAUGAAAACUUUAAUCCCGGGUGGGAUCUUUAGUUUCCAAAACUGAGGUGAUCUGCAGUCAUUCACUCCACUGAAUGCGAAGAAGUCAUAAGCACUCCGUGUCGAGAAAUGGCCAGCUGAGUUCCACCUCCAGACAAUGGCAUCUUCUGAUUCCCCAUGUAAUGUAAUGUUGGAAACUAAGGCUUCCAGAUCUUGGAGUUCUUCUUGUGCUGCGGUGCUGAAAGGUGACCUGAACCCCAGCGUAGAGUGCGUGGCGAAGCGUCGAAACCAACAUUUGACAGAAGUCUGCUUAUGCACCGAUAUAGCAUGUAAUUCUGGAAAUUGCUUUUGCAGCGAAAGUUCUCCAUACCAUCUGGAAUUCCAUAAGGAUGUUACCUUUCCAUUACCUAGAGUAAAGUUAAUCGAAGUAGAGAACGCAGCAGCUGUGCUGAGCAUCGCCUUCCAAAUUGGGGAGCAACCAGUUGGCUUAGAACGAUCAAGCCGAGGUGGUCUAUGUUUGUAAUGUUUCAGCCUAAGUAACCAGACCCAAGGGAGAGAUGAAGAGUUAUAGAAUUUUCAGAGGCCCUUCAUUAAAAGGGCCGCAUUAGUGUGGCGCAUGCUUCGAAUGCCAAGGCCGCCUAAUAGCUUUGGGCAACACACAUUCUCCCAUUUGACUAAACAAUGAAAGCCAUUAGUAAGCUUUGCACCCCUCCAAAAGAAUCCUCUGCGUAUCUUGUCAAUCGCCUUUGUUACCCAAAUUGGUAGUAGGAAGGUAGAGCAAAAGUAGGUGGGUAUAAUAGACAGGACGGAAUUGAGCAUAACAAGACGACCCCCCCCCCUUCCAACCUGCAGUCUGUUGUCACAUUCUCUCCCCUAAAAUAAUUUGAACAAAAAAAAAAAAAAAAAAAAACUAAAUUAGGAGGUUAAUUUAUUUUGUAAAAUAUAAUCGGAAUCCCUUGGGCACAACUGUACAACAUGUUUGGUCAAUUGUUUCAAACAUUCUUAAGAUUAUUUUGUUUGCUAUCUCUCCAUUAUCUUGGUUCCAAACAAGCACUAGGUCAUGCAUAUAUGCAAUCACUGCACCUUUCCCCCCUAAUAAUAAUAAUAAUAAUAAUAAUAAUAAAAGAAAAAAAAUCUAAGAUGUUAUUUUUGAAGAACACAUUUCGUACUCUUUUGAAAGUGUAGAGGUUUUUAUACUUAUAAGUUGUUUUCAAUGGUGCAACAUUUUCGAUAAUCAAUUCAAUUAGGCAUGAUGUAUAUAUUAUUAUUAGAACUAUUUGAAAAUUAAAUUUCAAAAUAGGGUACAUCCCUGUUUAAUCAAAAAAAAAAAAGAAAAUCAAAUUUCAUAAUUUUUCGAUAUCAUUUAUCAAAUGAUCAAAUAAUUUAAAAAAUAACUAUUUUAUUAGCUAAUGUGGCGAGUUUGCAAAUUCGAUGGUAUAAAACAAUCGAAGUUAUGUGAAACUUUAAUAGAAAAAUCUAUAUAACAUCAGGAUCAAUACUUUCGAUUUGAAAUUUAAGUUUUUUAUUUCUCUUCAUUAGUCAAACUUGUUCUAGCUAAGUCUUGAGCUAAUAUGAGCCAGUAGGCCACAUAAUUUGCAACUAUGACCACAACUCGGAUCAAAUCGCCCCCAAAGUACCUCUUUAACUCUUCUGAGUAGAAGUCCUGACAAGCUCAAAUUCUCCUCCGAUAAUGCUUUACGAAAUUCUUUCAAGUGUUGCAUUCGGUCCAGCAUAACGCAGAGUGCCUCGAGGACUUCUCUUGAUUCGCAAAAAUGUUUUGAUUAGAUCUUGCCUACUAGUUUCCUUCCUCAUAAUCUCCAGCUUAUACAUAGUUGGUCCUCAAGUUUUAAGUCCUUUGAGCUCCCAGAAUACGAACUUCUCAGCAAGCGCAACAAGCCGUAGUCUUCAAAGACAGCAGCACAGCAUUCUACUCGCGAAGGCAUGGUCGUCAAGUCACGGCAACCACCAUCCAUAAUAAUAUAUGGUUGAGUUGUCAUGCUUUUCAUGCUCACUGGUAGCUUGUCAAUGAGCUCGUCUAAAGCGUGACAACACCAUAGAUUGAUCGAUCGAAGAUUGGAGAGGUGACAAACAGUUUCAGGUAACUUUUGGACUCCAGAAAAUGAUAGGUCUAAGUGUUGCAAGCUCCUUAGAUUACCGGUCGAACUUGGUAGGGAAAAAAGGCUCUUGCAGGAAGAAAGGUUCAAUGUUAACAGAUUGGAAAGGUCACCAAUGGAUUCUGGUAGUUCUUUUAAAGAUUCGCAUAGCAUUAGGUUCAAAAUCUGUAGAUUUUGGAGGGAGCCGAUGUCGAAUUUGACACUUCCGGGAACCCGUGUUCGUACAAUUAUCCGGCGAUAAUUGUGUAGUGGUGUUAUCUUGUGUUUGCUGCCAAAACAUCCAAAUUGGAGUGUUUUAGGGCAGUAGGUGACUCGUGACAAGAGUCGGUGAGUUUCGGGACACUUAGUGGGUCCCGACGGCGUCCCGGUGUGGUUUUCGGGACUUCCGGCGUAUUACGACGAUCGGUUUGGGAAACCGAUUCUCGUGGGUUUAUUUGUGGGUUUAUGCUUUUAGGGUUUCUUAGCUAUGGGUUAGACACUAACCCAGUGGACCCUCCUUAGGUCCUGUGUGACAUUCUUUGCAGUCAGGAGACAGCCGGAACAGUUUGUCGACAGGUGGGUACUUCGAUCCGAUCUGUCGUACAGUGGUGCAGCCCAUCGGUGAUGGUUUCUUACCUUGCCUCCUUUGUUUAUUAUCAUGCAUAUGUUAUAUUGUUGAGCUUUGUCACUCUAUUGAUUACAUUACACCCACGUCUGUUGAUUAUACUCUAACUCGUGUGUUUGGCAUACUUAGUAUCAUGAGUAGGAGUAGAGUGGUUCUAUCCGCAUUCGUAUCUGUUGACUCAGUUUGGUCUGUUGUGCAUUCCGUAUUGUUGACCUAGUUGGUCUGUUUGUGCAUUCCGUAUCUGUGACCUUAGUUGUCUGUUCUACCAUUCUCUACUCCAGUUAUUUCCAUAUUGAUAUCAUACUUAGGAUAGUAGUUGACUUUAUCUGCUUACUAUAUCUGUGAUUUGUUGGCGAGUUCCCUCAUUGUGGAUAUCUAUGACCUAUUCGGAUCGAGUUGCUGACAGUUCACUAAUAUCUGUGAUUUGGCUUGGGCGGUUCCCGCUAUUGUGAUAUCUGAUGACCUAAUUCGGUUUGAUUAUGCUACAGUUCUAUCCUGGACAUACGUAGGCCGAUAUUGCUUGAUCGGCUAUUCGUCGGUGGCCCUGAGAGGCUGGAUCUGUCGGUAGUUGCCGAUGGAAUGAUCCUUUUGAGCCAUACUAACAUUGAUCGCCACUGCAGAUACGCAUUCACGAACACCAAAGCGGCUUAAUCCACCGCAAGAGGGUCGUUCUUUUCCCGGAAAAAGUGGUUGGAAUUGCCAACCGUGAGUCCCAGGGCUUUAUUGCGAGCGGUAUAUGCUUCUGACGCCAGGGCUCGUCAUUUGCGUAGGAGUCAGGUACUGAUGCUUCUGACCCAGGGCUUCUAUUGCGAGCGUCAGGUACGUGGCUUCUGACCAGGGGCUCAUUGCGAAGGUCAGGGUUACUGUACUUUGACCAGGGGCUCAUUAGCGAGGGUCACGGACAGGUUGACAGUGUGGCAUGGGCCUGAAAGGUCUUCGGACAGAUAGCGCGCGAGAUUUGGUACUUUUGAGCUUAUCUGUCAGUUGACGCCUGCAUACAGUGACUGUAUGUUUAUUUUCGAAAGUAACAUCUCUAAUCUUGUUAUUGAGCUACUGUAUUUAUUUUAGCUGCAUCUAUACUUGUCGCUCCUUAUUACUUUCAUGCAUCUUACUGUACACAUUAUGUCUAUCUAGUUCUACGUGUUUGUUGUGAUAGCUCUUCCUGAUCUGGGUGAGUAUCCAUAGCUUACAUCGCUCUGCGUAUCCAGGGAGGGGAGACAUGUUUACAUGUUCUCACCUCCCCACAUUUUUCAGGUAUCUGCGGGCGUGAGGGUUGAGACGAGGCUGAGGUACGCGUGUAGCGGUCGAUAGAGCUUCCGACCCAGGUUAUUCGGUUUAUUUUUACCCUUCUUAUUUCGGUUGAUGUUAGUUUAGUUGGUUCAUGUGGUUCAGUGUUCUAAUUUACAUUUGAAAAUGUGAAUUUCUGAAUUUUGUAAAAUAAAAGGUUUCUUACCACCGGGUAGCGUUUUAAAAGAUAAAGGUUUCCGUUGUAGGAAACAGUUUUCAAAAGAAUUUUUCGUGAAUUCUAUUUAAACAUUGAAUGUAAAACUGUGAUGUUAAUGGUGAAUGUAUGAUGUAUAGGUAUUCUUUUAUAUCUCAUUUGGUUGUGUUGUUUCCUGGCUAUACUCUUGUACUUGUGCGACGCGUGCAAAUACAGGAGAACUCUGUCGCGGUGAGCAGUGGAUUCCCUGUAUUUUGUGCGGAUCUGGCAUACCCUGGGAUCAGGUUUCCAAAAAAAAAAAAAAAAAAAAAAAAAUCGCUGUGUUUUAACCUAAAAGGGACCCCGAGGCGUGACACUAAACGAAAGGAGGAAAGGAGACCAGUUUUGGGCUGUGAGCUUGAGGAUCCAAGCAUGUCCGUGGGUGAUGGGCAUGAUAAUCGAAAAAGUCACACAAGAAGAAAAAUGAAGGGUGAAACAUCAUCAUUCUCGCAAGAAAAAUAGAAGGGAGGCCAACGGUCAUUCUCAGGUUGACCAAAUCAACCUGCGUACUCUUUCUGCAAUAUUGUGAUUAGGACUUUCCCUAAGACCUCUAUUGUGGUUCAAAAACUAAAUUUUAGAAAGUAAUAGGGAAGUCUAAUAUCAUAAAUACCCUUCUAAAAAAAUAUAUUAUAAAUAAUCUUCCAAAAAAGAGAAACUUUUAAAAAUAACCUUUACACUGAAUUACAGUCAAUUUUGAAUUAAUGGUAAAUAAAAUUCCAACUUUACUCCUAUUGUCAUUACCAUCUUAAAAUAUUUAAUUGGCUAUAAAAUCAUAUAUGAUUUUAUAAACACCCUUUUAAAUUUAUAAAUAACCUACAUUAAGAGAUAAAAUUUUGUCAAUUAAAAAAAUAUAUAUAACCUGACAAGUUAAACUAAAAAAAUAUAAAAAUAAAAAAGUCAAAAAAUAUCAGGCAAAAAAUUCUUUAAAGUAUUAGUUGACUCAUAAAAAUAAGGUUAAGCACUUUAUUUAAAAUAUAACCUAAAUAUAUAUGCAUGAUGUGAACUAAGUUAUUUGAACAUGCACGGAUUUCUGUGCUUUGGCAUAUAGAAUUUUAAGAUUUUCACUUUAUUUCAAAAGAAAAAAUUGCGUAAGAUUUGAUUUCAUACAACAAAAGAAGUUCCACUUUUUGCUCUAGGUUUUCUAUCUUAAUUUUUCAUAUAAAUAUGCUGUUAAAUAAAAGAGGAAAAUAUAUGCUCACCAUACAGUAAUAAAAUGAUGUAUUUUCCUCUGUAUUUUAAUAUUUUAAAAUAAAUAUUAUCAUGCUAAAAUACUUUUGUAAAGGAUUUUGAAGUUAAAGACAAAAUGGACAUUUCAACCACAUUUAUGAUAAUUAAAUAUAGGGAUAUUAAGAGUAUAUUUGAAAGAUAGUAAGUAUUUGUAGGGAUAUUAAUUUGUGAUAUAAUUAAAUUUAUAGUGGUAUCUAUGAUAUUUUUGAAGUUUAGAGAGGCACGAAUGAAAUUGACCCAAAAUAAUAUUUGCCAUCUUGAGAACAAGAGACAUUCUGGUAUAAGUUAGAACAAUAAUAAAUUUGUAUUUGGAUGUAUUUCGAGGGUAAAACUGUACGUAGACCCCAACACUUUGAAGAGAUCUGUUAAUUUGAGACUUAAAAAAAUAGAUAAAUAAUUUAAAUUAAAAAAUCUUUUAUAUUUUUAAUACUCUCAAAAUUGAUAGUUUAUUGAUUUUUUUUUUUUUCAAUUUAUAUACUUUGUUGCAUAACUUAUAACUAACUUAAUCUGCAAACUUAUUUUUGCUAAGCUUUAUAAUUGAAUUCAACAGUAAUUCUAAAUAGCUGGAUCCAUUUAACGCAAUUAUGGCAAAGUGCAGUACUAAUUAAUUAUUAUCUUUUUACGUAGAGUGUUCACGAGAUAUGAGAUAAAAUACAAAGGAUCUUUUUGUUAAAAUAAGUCUUUAUUUCACUGUAAUGCCCUAUUUAGAUACAUAAUAAAAAAGUUCCAUGGAGUUUAUAUUCUGUAAUUUUGGUUUGAAUGAAACAGAAAAUUCGGUAACUAUAAAAAAUUUUCAUAGCUUUGAUUUUAAACUGUUUGGAUACAUAUCAUAUAAUUUCAGAAAAACUCUAACAAUUAAAAUUUUAUGUAAAUUUAAAAUUUAAAAUUUAAAGUUUAAAAUUUAAAAAUUAACUAUUUUUGAUGACUCGUUUCCAGUUUGGAACUUUGUGUGUAUAGUGAAUUUGAUGGCUUUAUUUGCACAAUAAGAAAAUUGAAUUUGAUUUGAAUUUAGAAUAUACUAUUUUGAUUUGAAGUUAAAUAAUAUAAAAUAAUUGUUUUUCUUCAAAAUCUUCAACUACCAUAUAUUAGGAUUUUUAAUAUUAAUAUUCAACAAUCUCAAUUACCUAUUUGCACAAAAAAAAAAAAUUCCUUUAUCUCAUAAAGGCCGGCGCUGGCUACAGCGACAGAGGAGGAGGAGAGCGAGGGGCUCUUUGUUUAGAGUUUCAGUAGAUUAAGUAAGGGAAGAAGGGGAGAUGGUGAUCAAUUUUUCUUUUUUCUUUUUCUGUUUGUAUUUAGGUCGAAUAGGGUGGAUGGAAUGAGUUGAAUAGAGUAACAUUUUAUUUUUGGUUAGAGUGGACUUUAUAUUUAGGCCUUUGUAGUUUUUUUAAAAAAAUUUUGUAUAAAUGGAACACUUACAUAAAAAUAUCCAAAAAAUAUGUUUAUAUAACUAAUUCUAUUUUAGUGGCAAAGAAAAAAUUAGAAUAAUUAUUAAAGCUAAUUUUAAAUUGAAUAAAGGAAAUAAUAGAAUACAUAAGGGUGUAUUUGGUUCCGAAUAAAAUCAUCCUGUAACGAUCCAGCCCACUAGCAACAAUAACUCGUUGGGCCCAACAACCGGCCAAAAUGCUUAAGCUCAGUUACCGUUAAGGCCCUGACGUCCUCGUCAGUCCAAUCACACACACACAGUCCAAGAUCACCAAGCGAUGUGAGACUCGUCUCGCUAGCCCGUCAUCCAGACCCUGGCUCAGCCGAGACUCGCCACACAUGUCCAGCUGGUGAACCGGCUCUGAUACCAAAUGUAACGACCCAGCCCACUAGCAACAAUAACUCGUUGGGCCCAACAACCGGCCCAAAAUGCUUAAGCCCAGUUAUUAUUACUAGUGUCUAAGUCUCUUAUAAACCCAAUGACAACCCCAUUUCCAUCCGAUGUGGGAUUAUUGGGGUGUCACACACCCCGAAAUUUUUUUCAUUUGAAAAGUCAAAUUCCCGUGUUUCAUUACUCGUAAAAAUAUUUUCUCGAAUUCUUUUUUACAUAUUAUAAAGAGAAUGAGGGUUUUUGUUUCCCCUUGCUUUGAGAGGAAACACGCGGCGUUGAGCAUGCGCAACAAAAGCACACAGUUCACGAGGUCUGCUCCACCUAGUGGACCGUGUGAGAAAGGUUCACGGUGGACUUAUUUCUCUCAUUUAUAUAUACUAGUUGAGUGUACGUACAAAUGCACAUAUAUAAUAAUUAUUUUAAUAUAUUUUUAAAUCAAUAAAAAAUUUAUAAAUCAUAUUUAUUCAACAUUUAAAAUAAAAUAUUCUGUAAAUUUAUAUAUUAUAUUUUAUUAGAAAAUAUCUACAAUAUCCUAUAUUAUUCUUUUCUUUAUAUACAUUAAAUAUUUUUAUAUAUUUUUGGAUAUCUAAUAAAUCUAAAAUUUAAGUAAGUGUUUUAAACUAAAAGUAUAAAAAUUUAAUUGACAUUUCUUUCAAAAUUUAAAAUUUAAUUUUGAUCCAUUAUAUAAUUAAAUUUUUUAAUUGUUAAUUCAAGUUUGAUAUCAAAAAUCAAAAGUAAAUUUAAUUCACAAUUUAAACUCAAAUUUAAAUUUUAAUGUAAAAUAGAUGGAUAGAUUUAAUAUCAAAAAUUAAAAAUUUAAUUUAAUUUACGAUUUAAACUCAAAUUUAAAUUUUAAUAUAAAAUAGAAGAAUAAAAGUGCUAUUUUUUAAUAGAUUGAUCAUAACUGUUCAUUUUUAUUUCAAAUAUUUUUUAUUAAUUGAUCAUAACCAUUCAUAGAAUUGAAUUUAUAGAUUGGUAUAAAUAUUUUUUUAAAAAAAAUUGAUCAUAACCGUUUCGUUCUUAUUUGAGAUAACUUUUUACAAAUUGAUUAUAAAUUUGUACACCAUAUUAUUCCAAAAAUAUGAUUUACAAAUUUAUUAACCAAUCUAUCUUUUAAACUAUUUCCAUUGUAAUAUGUUGAUAGUUUCAAAAUUUAAAAUUUUAAAUAAUUUUAAAUUUUGAGUUGAAAUAUAGAUUUAUAAUAGAUAUUCUGGCAAAAAUUUGGAUAAGCAUGAAUUUUUUUCUAUUCUAGAGAUAAAAAAAUUUAAUAAACUUUGAAUUAAAAUAUAAAUUUACAAUAGAUAUCUUUCGGUUGGCAAAAAUUUGGAUAAAUAUUUUUGUUUCUAUUUUGGAGAUAAAGAGAAAUUAAAUGUUUGUUUCAUUACUUUAUUUAUUUUACGUGAGGAAAGAAGAAUCAUUUUUUUUUUCCGCCAAAAAAUUGGUAUGUCGAUAAACCGAAAUUUGAAAUACGUGCUUUUAUAUAUAGUGUAGAUAGAUAAAUAUAGAAAUAGAUAUAGAUUUUAUCAAUUAUAUAAUUAAAUUUUUUUAAUUGUUAAUUCAAUUUUGAUAUCAAAAAUCAAACAUUAAAUUUAAUUCACGAUUUAAACUCAAAUUUAAUUUUUAAUGUGAAUAGAUCGAUAAAAGAGCUAUUUUUUAACAGAUUAAUCAUAACCAUUCAUUUUUAUUUCAAAUAUUUUUAAUUUAUUGAUGAGUUUAAAUUUUUUUUUAACAAAUUGAUCAUAAAUUUGUACAUCAUAUUGAUUCAAAAAUAUGAUUUACAAAUUUAUUAAUCAAUCUAUCUUUUAAGUUAUUCCAUUGCAAUAUGUACAUAGUUCCAAAAUUUAAUAUUUUAAAUUAAUUUUAAAUUUUGAAUUGAAAUAUAUGUUUACAGUAGAUAUUCUGGUAAAAAAUUAGAUACGCAUGAAUUUUUUUCUAUUUUAGAGAUAAAAAAAUUAAACAAAUUUCAAAUUAAAAUNUCUGCCAAAUAAAGAGUCUGUCGAUAGACCGAAAUUUGAAAUACAGGCUCUUAUAUUUAGUAUAGAGUAGUUAUAGUGCACAUGCGAUAUACAUCAAAUUUAAUUAAAUUAAAUUUAUAUUUAUAUUUUAAAUUUAAAUUAUUAUUAGUGGUAUAUGUCUAUUUAUUAUUUAAUUUUUUUUCAUACUUUAGUUUAUUUCUAAAUAAGAAUUAUGUAUUUUUAAUUUAGUUAUACUGUAAAUAUUUUUCAUAUGUAUUUCAUAACAAGCAAAUUUUUAUUGAAUUUGAUCUUGAUUCAAAAUUUGAAUUAAUUAAAAAUAUUAAAUUAAUAAAUUCACAUUUAAAUUUAUGAACGAAACUCAAAAUUUUAAAUUUAUUUUGAUUUCAUAAUUAUAAUAUUAGUAGUUAUUGGAGAUAUAGAUCUAUUUAUCAAUUCACAGUAGAUAUUCUCUAAUUGGUAAAAAUUUGGAUAAGUAUAAAUUUUUUUUAUUUUAGAGAUAAAGAGAAAUUAAAAGUUUGUUUCAUUACAUUACUUAUUUUCCAUAAAAAAAGAGGAACCAAUUUUUUUUUCUAACUAAGAAAAUGGGUUUAUUGACCGACCGAAAUUUGAAAUACGUGUAUUGAUAUAUAAUAUAUAUAUAUAUAUAAUUUUUACUAUAUAUAUAAAUUAUACAAUAUUUUAUUUAUAAAUAUUAUUUAUUAAUUAUAUAGUAAUUAAUUUUAUAGUAUCGAUUAUAUAUACUAUUAUAUAUUAUAUUAAAUAUUUAUAGUAUAAUAUAUUUUAAAUAUAUUUUAUUUAUAAAUAUAAAUUAUAAUACUAAUGUAUGUAACAUGAUAAUUAUUAUAUAUCAAUAAUUAUAUAAUACAAAAAAUAAAAAAGUAUAUAUAAUUGUUUUUAUUUAUAUAUAUAUAUAUAUUUUUUACUUUUCAACCAAACAAUCGUAAUAGAAAUCUAUUUUUUUUCCUACAAAUUAAACGCAAUGUAAAACUUAUUAUUCUCCGAAAAUUAUUUUUUACUGAAAUUUUUCUUAUAGUUUUAUGUGAAAUCAAACAGCCCCUACGUAAAUUUGAUGGUUUUAUUUGCGGAUGAAGUAAAUUACGGUGUAGGCGAAACUGCAAGAGUUUUUUAUUUCAAGUUGGCCGGACAUUCCAUACAAUCGGAUAUAGUUAAUAUAACACUAUAGAAAAUGAGCAAUGAUUGGACUAGUAUUAGAAAAGUACCCACUAAAACACAUUUACUAAAUACAAAGUCAUAAAAUAGAAACUUGCAGAAGAACAAACAUUCUGACCAGCAAACAUCAACACAUUUUCUUAAUUUCUUUUAUGGCCAUUGUAUUGAUUGCCUUUUUUUCUUUUUCUUUUUUUUUGCUUGAGACCAAUAUAAGUAGUACAAUAUUCCAAAUCAAAAGGCUACCGGAAUUCCGAAAUGCGCCUAAUGAAGUCUAGAUCAUCAGCGUCCAUGGGAUCCCACCAGUAGAAGUUCAGACAUUUUACGAAUGUUAUGCGCUCCGCAAGAGUUUGUAGAACAGAUGGUCGAGCAGGGUCGUCAGAACUUGCCAAGUGCACAAUCUUGAGAUUUGGAAAUGCGCAGCGCGGCAGAGAAGAUAGCAGCAGCUCACUGUUAGCGCACAAAUAUAGCUGCUCGACGGAUGGAAAAGAUGAGGGCAAUUCUUUCAGUUUUGGGCAGUCUAGUAGCCUCAACUCCGACAAACGAGGAAAAGAUCGUUGCGCUGCUGACGCUUCACACCACCCCUCUAACUUGGGCAUGUGUUCUAAUCUCAAGUUCUCCAAUACUGGGAAUGCAUCAUCACCUGCACCAUAGAACUCUGAGUCCAGGCUCGUGACUGCUAGGAGAGAAACGAGAUGCAGGACUUUAAGAGCAGGCAACUGCCCAAGCGACGGAAGAGACUUGACAACAGGAAGCUUCUCGAGAGAAAGUGUCUCUAGGUUAUGCAAUUGACUUGUUCUUGGGAGGGCCUUACAUCUGAAACAAAAAGAUAAGUGAAGCAAAACAAGAUUUGGAAGACUGGACUCCAACCAUUUCGGAAAAAUUUUGCCCGGGUAGCGAUAUAUCCCCAAUAGGGUCAAAUUUUCGUGCGGUUGGAGGCCGUUGAGGACUUCUUCGGCUACCCCAAGUGAAUUGAUAAGACCUUGCCUGGCUUUUCCUUCUACCUCAGUGCGCACGCAGGCUUCCAUUUGCUUCUUGUAAGUAUCCAAGUCCCAUGCUAAUGAUAGUGCAUUAAGGCCAUCCAUUUCUAUUAAGUUAGCCUCUCUAGCCUGCUGGAAAUUCUUCACAUUUUCUAGGCUAGUAAUCAAUAGGAUGCCUUCAAGAUUAAGUCUGUUGAGCUCCUUGAGGCCGCACUCUCUCUUUUCGUAGACAUCAAAGAGCAGUAGGUCCCGAAAGUAGCUUGGCUGUGUAAGUCCAGCAGGCAUGCACGUUAAUCUAUGGCAAUGACCUGUGCGAAGACAUGUGAGAUUUUUCGCGUUCUUCUUGUUCUCUGAGAGCUUGCGUAGAAAGAGACAGUGUCCUAGAUUAAUUGAUCGAAGAUCUGAGAGGCAACAUAUGCUUUCGGGAAACCUUUUUAUUCUGGUAUUUGCGAGGUUUAAGGUCUGCAAACUCUUUAAAUGACCAAUGGAAUUUGGUAGGAAGACAAAGCUUGUGCAAUAUUCAAGAUUCAGUGCAAGUAGAUUAGAGAGAUUGCCAAUGGAGUCUGGUAAUUCUUUUAAAAAUCGACAUCCUUGUAGGUCCAAAACUUGCAGAUUCUGCAAGAAACCAAUAGAUUGUGGCAGUAUUUCAAGGUUUGUGUAUGACAAAUUGAGAUACCUUAGGUGUCUAAGAUUACUAAUUGAAUUUGGCAAUUCUUUGAUAGGGUAGUAUUUAAGAUAAAGUGCUCUUAGAAGCUUCAUACUAGAGAAAACAGUUUGAAGAAUCUUUAGCAUCAUAUCUUCCUUUCCUAUCUGCACAAAAGGAUGUGAUUUGAGGAAGUAAAAGGUUCUCAACUUUUUGGCUUUAUUGACAAUCUCUAAAACCGAUGGUAUUAUCUCUAUUGUGUAGAUAAAAGAUGAAUAACGUGUCGAAGGAUAUAUGUCUCUUCUAUUGACAACUUUGCCGAUGCUUGAACAUUCUUCACCUGAAACAAAUUGAGCGAGAUCAUGAACAAGAUCAUGAAUCACGACGGCACCUAUCAUAUGCCUAGGUUCCUCGAAAAGUGAUCUCGAUAAUAGCUCUUCAAUAUAUUGGUAACCCACGUCUUCCAAUUCCAUACUCUCGUUGAGUGACCGAACAAAUCCUUCAGCAAUCCAAAGUUGGAUCAGGUCCUUAAUUAUUAUAAUAGUAUCCUUUGGAAAUAUGGAGCAAUAUGCAAAGCAUUGCUUCAGGUGCGACGGCAAAUGAUUAUAACUCAACCUUAGAGCUGGUAAAAUCUCAUUCUCUUCUAACUUCCAACUAUCAUUGUCCCGAACAGCCAACCACUCACUUUCCCUUCUCUUAGAGCGCAUCAAGCUACCUAAAACCUUCGCUGCCAGCGGGACACCACCACAUUUUUUCACAAUCUCCUUUCCAAUGGUAACUAAGUUUGCGGUCUUCUCACAAGCACCUAUCCCAAAUGCUCUUCUCUCAAACAACAACCAACAAUCAUCCUCAGAUAAAGUCUUCAAAAAGUGUGGCUCCACCGUGGCCAUUACUGAGGCAACUCUACUACUACGGGUGGUCACUAUAAUUUUACUUUCGGUCGCACCAAUAGUUAGCAAAGUCCUAAAUUUGUCCCACUUCUCAUAAUUUUCAUUCCACACAUCAUCCAGCACGAGCAAAAAUAUUUUUUUCUCAAGCUCCUGUUUUAGUUUAGACUGCAUCGACGCCAUGCUUGUGAGAUCACAAGCAUUUCCCGUUGUAUGCUCUAUUAUCGAUCUGACAAGCCUUUUAUGGUCAAAAUCAUCAGAAACACACACCCAUAUUCUCUUCUCAAAGUGAUCGCUUAUUUGUCGAUCAUUAUAGACUAAUUGCGCGAGUGUCGUCUUACCGAGCCCUCCCAUCCCAACAAUUGCUAUAAUCCCGAGAUCACCUCCAGGUGUGUCCACAAGAAAUUCGAUGAUCUUUUUCUUAUCUUCUUCCCUACCAUAAACUUCCGAUUCAAUUACGAAGGAGCUAGUUUCUUCUCUCACCACAUUCUCUUGCCUACAGCAUGUUACUACACAUCUCUCUUGCAAAUGAAACUUAGAUCUCUCCUCUGCAAGCUCAUCUAGUCUCUCCCUUAUUUCCCUUAUCUCCCUAGCUAUCUUUAACUGAAACAUAACUGAGUUAGGCAAUGAUAGCACUCUACUUACCGUUCCCUUCAUCCAGCUAGUAGUACUGCUUUCCGGAUCAGUUAAACUCCUCUUCCAGUUCUUGGCGAAGUCCUCGUCCAGCAGAUCGUCGAUAUCGUAGGCCACAUCUUUGAUGCGUCCCAGCCACCCUCUGAGAGCUCUCUCCUGCACUUGCCUCCCCUCCGCAUCCUCGAGCACGUCGCAGAUGGUGGAGAGGGUGCCCUCCAGCUUCUUCAGCUCGGCGCCGACGUCCAUUACUUGACCAAACUCGCCUGUGAUUCGUUCUCUCAGUCUGUCGACCAGCGAACUCAGGACACCGGAAGCUACUACGUCUGCCAUUUUUUUUUUUUUGAUGUAAUCAAUCAAUUGAUCGAUCAAAAACUGAAUGAAACUAAGAUGAAUAAGACUAAACGAAAAGAGGAGAGGAGACCAAUUUUCUACUUCAGAGUAACUAUGUAAAACUAGAAUGGUCAAAUUGAACGAAAUUAAGCUCGAAUAAGACAAAAGGAAAGCAGGAAUGGAGGCCAAUUUUGUUCUGUAAAAAAGACUUUACUUGUGGGGGUGAUUGGCCUGAGAAUAUAAAAAGUCAUUCAUGAAAGAAGGAAAAUGGAAGGCGGCGAAGCAUCAUCAUUCUCACAAGAAAAAUAAAAGGGUAGCCAAAGGGCAUUUUCAGUUUGACCAAACCAACCUGCGUACUCCUUCCGCAAUAUUUGAUUAGGACUUCCUCAAUAACUAUCGCCGCCGCCGCCGACGACAACGCCACCAUCCAACAAGGGGGGGGCGCCCGCCUGGAAGCAAAGACGAAGGCUAGGAGUAGAGCACCGUUUGUUUUGAGUACAUGCAAGUGUACCCCAAACUAGGCAUCCUAAGUGGCUUUUUAAAAUUAAUUUUCUGUUGAAUCACAUUUGGGAUCAUAAUUUGGCGAGCUUUGUUAGUUACAUGCAAUAUUAACUCUAUUCAGGAAACGCAUGUGACUCUUUUGUUACUGUUACUCCUUUUGUUACUAAUUUUAUUUAAAUAUUUUGCUUUUUUUUAAAAAAUAAUAAUAAUAAUAAUAAAUCCUCACUUUUAACAAAUUAUCAGGAGCAUAAACCCUCUAUGAUGGGGGUGCAUAUAACUAUAUUACUAUUUUGAUUAACCUUUCACAUGUCCCAUUAUAUCAAGGUGACCGCAUAUACCAAGUUUUUUAUCAAACUAGUAUAAUUAAAUUGUGAUUUUAUGCAACUAUGAUUAGUUUUUUUUUAUAGUUUUUUUUUACUCGUAAUCUAAUAUCUUAUUUGGCCCCCGAGUUGACACAGGUAAUGAUUGUCCAGCCUUUCAAAUUUUAUAAAAAAAAGAUUAAUUAAUAUCAAUUUUAAAGACAAUAGUAUCCGGUAAAUAAAAAAAAAAAACUGUAUAUCCCCUUAGUCUUAAAUUUUGGUUUUUGUUGCUUCAUAUUUUGAUCUCCCAACUAGGUUAAGUUUUCAAUUUGACUACUUUACUAAUUACCAUUUUCACCUAAUUAAUUGGAAGGGGGAUAUUCUAAUCAUGGCCAGCUUAAUCGGAGGUAGCCCGAAUAUAGCGAGAGGGCGUAAUUAACCGGGUACCUGCGGGUAUCCGGGAAGCAUGAACUUCUUAAUCUUUGGUUCUUUUAAGUCUAUUUAGACUAAUAAAUAGGAACAUUUUCUCUUUACUUAUUUAAAAUUUCUUUUUGUUUUUCCCUUGUUCAUUUUUCUGAAAAAACAAUUAUAAAUAAUAUUCCAAAGGAGAGGAAAUUUCAAAAAUAACCUUUACACUAACUUACCAUCAAUUUUAAAUAAACAACAAAUAAAAUUCCAACUUUACUCCUAUUGUUAUUACCAUCUUAAAAUAUUUAAUUAGCUAUAAAAUCAUAUAUAAUUUUGUAAACACCCUUUUAAAUUCAUAAAUAACCUACAUUUAGAGGCUGUUUGGUUGCACGUAUUUGCAACUGCACUGUAGUUAUAAAUACAUGCAACCUCAAUUCCUGUAUUUGGUUUAAUGCAGUUGAGUCCAACUGCUGCAGUUACAACUGCACAAAAAUGUUCAAAUGCUAUAGUUGGAACUACAUUCAAAUUAGCUGCAGUUCCAACUGCAGCAGUUGGUGAGGAAUAGAAUUACCCACAAAUUAACAAUAAUAAAUAAAUAAAUAAAUAAAUAAUAUAUAUAUGGAUAAAUAAAAAUAUUUGUAAAUAAACACAUACUAAUAAAAACUUUUAGGCGACAUAAUAAAAAUUUUUAGGCGACACAAGUUUCGUGCAAAAAAUUAAAUUUUAUUAUUAUUCGUCCAAAAAAUUAAACUCAUCCAGCUAGUAGUACUGCUUUCCGGAUCAGUUAAACUCCUCUUCCGGUUCUUGGCCAAGUCCUCGUCCAGCAGAUCGUCAAUAUCGUAGGCCACAUCUUUGAGGCGUCGCAGCCACCCUCUGAGAGCUCUCUCCUGCACUUGCCUCCCCUCCGCAUCCUCGAUCACGUCGCGGAUGGCGGAGAGGGUGCCCGCCAGCUUCUUCAACUCGGCGCCGACGUCCAUCAGCUGACCAAACUCGUUUGUGAUUCGGUCCCUCAGUCUGUCCAGCAGCGAGUUCAGGACGUCCGAAGCCACUACGUCUGCCAUUUUCUCUUUGAUGAUUCUUUUCUUUUCGUAUCAAUCAAUCAAUUAAAAAUUAUCUGUUUCAAUGUAAUAUAUAAAACUGCAAUAGUCAAAUUGAAUGAAAUUAAGAUGCAUAAAUAUCUGACGAAUGAACGAACGUUGCCGGUUGAAGAACAGGACUAAACGAAAGGAGCAGAGGACACGAAGUUUGUGCUGUGAAAAAGACUUUUGACUUGUGGAUCCUAGCAUGUCCGUGGGUGAUUGGCCUGAGAAUAUAAAAAGUCAUACAUAAAGAAGAAAAAUGGAAGGCGAAACUUUAUCAAUCUCACCAGAAAAAAAAAAAGAGGCCAAUGUCAUUCUCAUGUUGACCUUAUCUGCUUGCGUACUAUUUCUGCAAUAUUAUGAUUAGGUCUUUCUCUAAGACUGUGCGUGGUUCCACAACCAAAGUUUAAUAACUCUUGUCUUUUCAAAAAUAAGAAAUAUUCUGAUAUAAGUUAGAACAACAAUAAUUGUAUUUGGAUGUGCUCUGAUGAGGAUAAAAAUGUAUGCCGACUGCUCAACUAUAGAACAUUUUAGCAUUGACCCCUCAACUCCAAACCUUUUUUUCUUUUUUUCUUUUUUUUGAUUAAACAGGGAUAUACCCUAUUUACAGGAAAACCUUUUUUUCUUGGUUUGACUCUCUUUCGACUUCUAAUAUUUUUAUAAUUUUUUUAUUUCGUUAAAUUUAAAAUCUUUGUUAAAUUUAAUAGUUCAAUUAAUAUUGGCAAUUAAUUAAUUUAAUUUUAGUUGCUAUCAAAUGGUAAAAGUUAUUAAAUUUAAUAAAUUAUUAGUAAAGUUAAUAAACUUUUAAAUUUUUUGAUUAAAGUUACUUGAUUUGAAAAACCAAGAAAAAUUAAGUAUGGCCUAUAGUUGAGUACAUGUGAUCUCCCUACAUUCUUUGUUUUUCAAGAGCAGUUUAAUUAUUCUUAGUUACUGAAGGAAAAAAUUUAGAAUGGACCAGGUAUAAUAUUGCUGAUGAUAUGGCAUCCCCAUCCAGUCAGAUAGCUCCCUUUCGAUUCACCCGUCCCAUCUUGAUUAUUAGAAAAAUAUUUUUAUUAUGCUUUUCUCUUAAAAAGAGAGAUGUGAUUUGCUAAUUAUUGAUAAUAUAGUGCAAGUGUAACACAGUAAACUUUUUUUAUAACGGUAGAACCAACAAUAAUAGUCGCCCUAUCCAUUCAGAUUUCAAACACUCCGGCUUCUGCCACUCCUUUCGCAACUUUCAGCCCAUUUCGUGUAGUAGAAGAGCAAAAGCUCUCGCGCGCGUCGUGUGACCACCCUUCAGGUUGAAAUUUAGGUUGAAAUUUGGGCGGGAAUGUGGGAACAAAAUUUAUAGGAGAAAUGCUACCUAUAAACCCAAAAAGGAAUUUAUAUCACAUAUCCCAUUUAUCUAAUAGAUUAAAUUAUUUUAUAAAAUAAUUUCAUCCAUUAGAUUGGUGGGUGUAUAUCCUCCAAAAUAAAGUGUAUAAGUAGAAUUUACUAAUUUCUAAACACACAUUUAUAUCUAUACCAUGGUAAGGUUACUACGAAUACUCCGAAUCUAAAGGUGGUUAACCAAUAUUAAACUGGUAUGAUUUCAUUUAUGGAUAUAAAAAAUAAAAUUUGACUAAUUUGGAUUGAGGUAUGAUUUUUAUCUGCGCCCUACCCGAUUCCAAACACAAACCAAUUUUAUAAUAUAUAAUAUAAAAAAAUUUAAAUUUAUGCUUUGAAAAUUUCAAAUGAUAUGUUUUGAAAUUUGAUAAGAGAAAUAGUCGCUUUCGGGUUUGGACUUUCAUGUUUGGUUUCGGAUUUUGAUUUUUUGUCGGGUUUCGGUUUUGGUUAUAGAUUUUUAAAAUUCGACUGUUUCAGAUUUGUCUCCAGAUUUCGAUUUUAGCUGUCCAGUUCGGAUUUGAAUUUUGGAAAACCAGUCCCAAGUCCGACCAAUUGGCAUCCCUAAUACCACGACCCCUGCCCCUUUGUUUGGUAGUUAGAUAAAAGAGAUUUAUUAAUUCAAAACUUAAAAUAUAUAUAUAAAUAAUUAAAAUAAAAAGAGAUCUUCUAUAUAAUUUUCCAAUACUAUAGUGCAUUAAAUAAUUUUAUUCAAUUUAUAUAAUUCUAUUGCCCUUUUUAUAAGCAAUUUAUUCUGCAAACUUGUUUUUGUAAAGUUUCACAGCUGAAUUUACAGCUAAAUUCAACAGUAAUCCUAAAAGUAGGAUCCAUUAAAGACAAUUAUAACAAAGCGCAGGGGACAUUAAUAAUAUAAUAUUUGAUGCGGAGGGUUAACGAGACACGAUGUAAAAUGCAAUGGGCCUUUUUGCUAUUUGACCAAUUAUUUUAGUGUGAAUUAAAUGACGGGUUUUAUUUUUCAAUUUCUAAGAAAAUUUUUAGUUAAAAGUUUGUUUGGGUGGGAGUGAGGUGGAAGUGGAAAGGGAGAAAUCGUUUUCGUCAUGAAAGAUCAUUUUCAUUGUUUGGUUCGUCGUAAAAUAUUUACGGUCGAAACUCGAGUUAAUCUGAAAUUGUGUAAUUGACUUCGGCCCAUCGCAAGCCGAAAUCAAUUACUAUGAAAUAAGAUGAAAAAAAUAUAAUAAAAUAAUAUACUAGGUAAAAAUCGUUACAUUUAAAUAUAUUUAAUUAUGGUACUAAUUACUCUAUUAUUCAGUUGGCAUAUUUAAAAUAUUAUAAAAUUUGAUUAGUUAAGUUUUAAUAUUUUCGUUAUUUAGUUUGUAAAAUUAAAAUAAAUAAAAAUUUAUUAAUUAAGUAUUAAUAUUUAUUUUACUUUAAUUUUAUUGUAGUAUUACUAUAAUUUAUGUAUAAAAAAAUAAUUUAAUUAUUUUAAAUUAAAUUUUAAUUAUAUAAAAAUAUAAUUAUAUUAUUUUUAUUUAUU